GUGGUACCCUUAUGUCAUCUUUUGGUUAUGAUGAAAAGUGUAAUGAGAUAAUGAUGUAUAAAUGGCAUAAGUUUUUGGGAAAGUGAAUGUAAAUUAUUAUAUGCUUGUAUUUGAUUUCAUGUAAUCAAGAUAUAUGUAUGAAUGUGAUGAUAGUUGUAGAACUUUCACUUAUUGGUUGUUGCUUGCCUUCAUGCAAGCUAUGUAUAUCUGAGUUUUCGCUUGCGCAAAUUGUAUACAUGAUAAUACUUGUGUUGAGCCUUGGGCGGACAGAGGAGGUGCUGUCCGUUCGGCGCCUGUUGACAUGCCCGAACCGACCAAAUCGGUGGUCCCGAGGCGUGACAGAUAAGAUGGUAUCAGAGACUAGAAAUGUGAAAGUUUAGGAUGGAUCUAGAAACCCUUAGGAUAGAAACCUUAAGGAUCUAGGGACGUGAGCGACGUGGGAUUGAAUUAUAGCGAAAGCUUUGUGGAUUAGGUUAGUGUUAAUAUGUCUCUAAUAGUAAUUAGGGACUAAUCCAAGUUGAUAUUUGUUCUCAGCUCCAGGGGUUAUGUUGGGUGGCCGACAACAUGAUGCCUAGGGAUGAGAAUGGAUUCACUUAUAUCCUUUCGCCUGAUUUGGUUUUGUUUGAGUAUGUUGUAGCAGCGUAUUAGCGUCGUGGGUCAAGUAACUAAUGUGGUUGUUACGUUUCAGGAAGCGAUGCCUCAUGGUAGACCUCGAACAAGGUCGGCACCCGAGGAACCGAGUUUGGCUCCCGAGCAAUCCGGAGCGAGUGGCGAUGGGGAGCUCCGAGAGCAGGUGUCCGCAUUGGUGGGAAUGGUGCGACAACAAGUAGAGUCGGUGCAACGCUAGGGGAAGCAAAUCCAGCGACUCUAGAAGGCUUGGGCACAACAGCAGGCGACGACGGCUCAAGCGUGCAUCGAACGACCUGCGCCCCCUGUCGUAAUACCGAGUGCGACCGAGGGUGUGGCCGCGGCGGCUAUACCUGUCGCGGCGGUGGCGGCUGGUUCAAGAACCUCAAAUCCCGAGGGUGCGGCGAUGGAAGCGGAGAGAGAGCGUGCACUCGCGGCUCUCGUAAUGUUUAAGAAGUUCAAUCCGCUUGUGUUUGAAGGAGAAAAUGUGGAACCAUGGAUGGUGGAGUCGUGGGUCGACUUGAUGGAAACACUCUUCAAGGAUAUUUAUACCUUGGAGAAAGAUAAGGUGCACAUCGCCAUGCACUGUUUAGAGAAGGCAACGAAGGUAUGGUGGAAGACGGUGAAGCGGGAUUGACUCUCUAACCUUCCGCCUAUGGUUUGGGAGGAGUUUCGGGGAUUAAUGUUCACAAAUUACUUCCCCGAUAGUGAGAAGAAGAAGCUUCAAGAUCAAUUUCGAAAGCUUAGAUAGGGGAACCGUUCUGUCACGCCCCGCGACCACAACCAAUUUGGCUCGGCCCGGGCGCGUCGAACAGACGCCGGGCCGACAGGACCUCCCCUGUNGCUUGCCGCUCCACAACUUCUUGGAGUUGCUCAAACCGAGCCUCCUGGCGCUGCAUCGCGCCCAGCAUUGCAGCGACCUGCUCCCCCAGCUCCUGCACCUCUUCUGAUCUUGGCUGCUCGGGCUCCGCAGAAGGCGGUACCGGAGCAGACCUACGCGCAUAACGCCUUGGGGACAUUUGCUCCUGAAAAGCAACAACUCAGUUAGUUAUCUCAAUCCGAUAACUUCGCAACGUUCGCAAAAUUAAGCGACUCGACAAAGAAAUCGGGCGGAAGCUCACAAGUGCUCCAGUUCUGGACUCUUAGCGUCGCGUCGUCGGCCGCCGACACAACCACUACGAGCCAAGAACUAGUAUCACUUGGAUCCGUCUCUAUUCACAGCUAGAGACACAACAUCAACUUUGACCCAAUCAAUCAACUCCCGCCACCGCCAUGGGUUCACGUUCACUCACGUCCCUAUAACCUUAGGGUUUGCCAACCUAGGGUCUCCUAGGUCAUCCUAGACUCUCUCUUUACUUGCUCUUAAUUGCUCUGAUACCACUUUAUCUAUCACGCCCCGCGACCACAACCAAUUUGGCUCGGCCCGGGCGCGUCGAACAGACGCCGGGCGGACAGGACCUCCCAUGUCCGUCCAAGGCUAACCAACGGAUCAUGUAUAAGAAUUUACCCAGGAAUCAAUUCAUAAAUACACGAUCAAGAAGCACCAUUAGUGCAAUGACCAAGAGCAAGAUACGAGUAUAGAAAACAUACAAGUACACAAGAGAGAAGAGCUAUCUAUUGCAUUCAGUUGACAUAAUAUACAUGCUUAAUUACAUCAUUUACUUUCUUCCAAGAAAACAUAAAUACAAUCAUUUGAGCCUCACCCUAUACAUCAUCUACUCUCAAGUACAAAAAGGGGUGAUAGCUAAUACAAAAGGGAGGUAGCUAAUGCGACUAGAACGCCGGGCCCUUACCGCGAUCCUCACGCUCACCGGGGACACCCGAACUGGAACCUGUAGUAAAAUGGGGGUGAGAACUAACUUCCUUAGUUCCCAGUGGGUUCGGCCGCCGACUCCGCCGAUCUCCCCACUGGUCCAAGCGGGCACAAGUAGAAAUACCAAUAGAUAGAUAAUAAGAAAAGCUGUAAAUAACGGAAAUGAAGCUACGCUACUAUGCCCAAUCAUAAUAUAUGAAUGCAUGUACAAGGAAAUAGAUAAACCACUAACCCCUUAUCAUGUCCAAAGGUAGAGCUAUUUACUCGUUCAUCAAUCUUAUUUAUUUAUUUCUCAAUCUCGUGGCUUCCCUGAAGGAGCCUACUGCUCACUAGCCAUCUCGAAGGUAGGGAGGGUCAACUCGCACUACGAACCGAGACCGUCUGCCGGGGCCUAAAUAGGCAAACCCUUGGGACCCAAAAUAGGCAAUCCCACGUGACCAACAUCCGGAGCGCACUACUUGUGUGGGGCUUCCAUCACAAGAUUUAGAAACAGACCGUGAGCAUGAUCCAAUCCUCGUCUCGAGAAUACCCUAUCCUCUAGGGUUACAAUCAAUAUAUAGUCCAUAGGUUUCACAUACACUAUUAACUAGAUUACCAAUCGUCCGUUUGUUCGCUAUCGACUAGAUGCCACUCGUUCAUAGUUUACUAUUGACUAGAUGCCACUCGUUCAUUGUUCAUCAUUUUCUCUACAUUAUAGGAUUCACAAGACUCGACCCAAUCCUCUCCAAUCUUCUACAUCCAGUAUUCAAUACAUGCUACGAUAUCAUCAAGGAAGGCAUAAGGAAAGGCAAUGCAUAAUAAUCCUAUAAUGCAAUAAUACAAGAUGUAGAAUCGAAAUGUACUAAGACAUAGGAGGGAGCCCGAUUGUUUCGGGAUGGACACCACCCACCUCUUGGCGAUGCCGCGAUAGUAGAAAGCUCGACGUUGCGGUCUUGCACGCCGCUUAAACUCCUCGGGGCAAAGCGAGCCCCCGAGUACCCGAUUCGGCGACAACUCCGCACCCGCUCGUCGGAUCGGCAAACCGUCUUCGCCGACGCGUUCAGAGACCUAGCAAUUAGGUUAGCGACCCAACAAAUUAGAUCAAAACCCUAGAUUUGCCAAAAUCCCAAUUCUAAACCCUAGGUCUCAACAACGGAGAAAUCCGUGGUGCGAGCUUCGAUUUCGAGCUCGAACCUUCUAUUUAUCCCCAAUAGGUUCCAUUUGAACCAAUUCUAAACCAUAAAAACCCAAAACCCUAGAAUUUCCAUUAAAGGGUUGGAAGCUUACCUCUAACCUAAGCUCCAAGCUUGAGGGAGAGGGAGAGAAGAUGACUUUCCUCUUCUUCUUAGUCUUCUCCUUCUCUUUCUUCUUCUUUCUUCCCUUCUUCUCCUUCCUCUUCUUCUUCUCCUUCUUCUCUUUCUUUUCUUUUCCUUCCUAGAGAGAGAGAAUAGUGAGAGAGAGAGAGGAAGAGAGCAACUGAGGGAGAGAGAGGGGUCCCCAAGCCCUAUUAAAGGCCAUUUUGCAAAUAGCCCCCUCAACUUUUCAUCUUUAGAAUCAGCCCUCUUUGGGCAUUUUCGCAGUGAGGGACCGGUCCCAGCUCGGGAAGACCGGUCCCCGAAGGCUGCCACUUCGAGCAGAGGGAUUUUUGCGUUCGGGAACCGGUUCUUGCUUGAGAGACCGGUCCCCGGGAGACCGGUCCUUGUCCGAGAGACCGGUUCCCGAAAGCUGAGUUUUCGGGACUUAGCCAAUUUUCGGCUAUUUUUGCUGGGCCAACGUUCGGGAACCGGUCCCUGCCUGCCAGGGACCGGUCUCAUCAGAGACCCCCCCGCAGCCCAGCCUGAUGGAACCGGUCCCUCCCUGCCAGGGACCGGUCCCCGAGAGCAUUUCUGCUCCAGUGCAAGUUUUGCACUGGUGCUCCCGCGGACCCUUCCUUAAUGCACUUUAUGCAUUAAAACACCUUCGGACUUCCCGAAGCCUACGCACUCGACGAAUAGUCGAUUCUAAUCGAAGUCUAAUCCUCGAGUUUCGAGAAUUCACUUCCUUACACGUUCGGUGGGAGAGUAUGAGCCAGAGUUCUCCCACAUCAUAGACUGUGUCCCGGAUGUAGUUCGGGAUGACAAGGAUAGGGCCGAUUGGUUCAUGCUGGGACUUCGGCCGGAAAUUUAUAAGGCGGUGCAUAUCCUCAAGCUCACGACCUUUGCUGAGGUAUUUGAUCGAGCAUUGUGGGCGGAGCAUGGCAAUGCUUAUGCGCGUGGGGAACGCGAGUCUAUGGAAAAGGAAAGGGAUAAAGGAAUGAAGCGGACUGCGAGUGGUAUCGAGGGUCGGUCGAGUCCUAAUAGGCCUCCUCGAUAUCCACGACGGCAGUCGAAGAACUAGAGACCUACCCGAUGUGUUACCUGCAGCGGUGAUCAUCGACCGCCGGUCUGCCCACAGCGUGAAGGGAGGUGUUUUAAAUGUGGCCAAGCUGGACACAUUAUCUGGGAGUGCCCGAGGUGGACAUCGCCUGCCCCGACGGCUGCAUCAGUUCAGUACACCCCGAGGCAGCUUGCUGGACUGCCACCUGCUAUGUCGGCUGGACGCUCAUCAGUGCCACGUCAACCAGAGGGAUCUCAGGCGGCGCCGAGUGGUCGAGUUUUCGCUGCACAGGUCGAGGAGCCUGCCGUACCCGAUGAUGUUGUGGCAGGUAUUAUUUUAAUUAAUGACACUAGAGCUAGAGCAUUGUUUGACACUGGUGCAUCCAACUCAUUCAUUAGCAUGUCAUUUGAUAGAGCUCAUGAUAUUGAGAUUUCGGAUAGUCCGGAUGCUUGGUGGGUCUAUGCACCUGAGCAUACUUUUAGUGUCAAGGAGGAGUGUGCGGCUUGUCCAGUGCAAAUUGGCGAUUGGAUUAUGCCGACGGACUUGCUUGUUUUGAGCCGAACGUGGGGCUUCGACGUAAUCCUUGGAAUUGAUUGGCUCUCGAAGUAUUAUGCCGUCAUUGGUUGCGAAAACAAGAAAAUCGCUUUUCGUGAACCCAGUCAGGAGGAAGUUGUUUACCAUGAGUGUAAAAGUUCGCAUUUNNNNNNNNNNNNNNNNNNNNNNNNNNNNNNNNNNNNNNNNNNNNNNNNNNNNNNNNNNNNNNNNNNNNNNNNNNNNNNNNNNNNNNNNNNNNNNNNNNNNCGGGCGGCCCGCGGCCCGCCCGGCCCGGCACGAGAGUGGGCCGGGCCAGGCACGGCACGAGUACUGUAGCAUGCCGUGCCGGCCCGGCCCGGCCAGUUAAAUCGGGCCGUGCUGGGCCUUGCUCCCACGGCCCGAUGGCCCGGCACGGCCCGACACGACAUAGGCCUGGGCCGUGCCGGGCCUAGAGGGUACCCAGGCCUGGCCCGGCACGGCACGGCCCGGCCCGUGUGGCCAGGCCCUCCCGAGCCGGGCCCAGGCAGGGACUUGGGUACAACCCAACUCCCAAGGCCCUGCAUCACCCAACUCCCAAUGAGUUGGGCUGUUGCUUUGGGACUCCCAACAGUUAAAGAGUUGGGCUGUGGCUUUGGGAGUUGGGCUUGGACUAAAAUGCCCUUCCCAACAGUCAAAAAUUUGACUGUUGGGAGGAUAUUUUGGUCCAAAAAAUUUAAAAUUUUAAAAUAAUUUAAAAUUUUAAUAUUUUUAUAAAUAUAUUUUAAAAUUUUAAUUUUUUUUUGCUGAUAUAUUAUUUUUUAAAAAAUUAAUAUUUUUAUUUUUAUUUUUUAAAAAAUUUAAAUAUUUUUAAAUAAAAUUAAUAAAAUAAAAAAGAUCUGGCCUGAAGCCCGGCCCGGCCCGGCACGGCCCAUGCAGUCCGGGCCGGGGGGGCAUGCUGGGUAGGGUUCCAAGAACUUUGGCCCGGCACGGCACGGGCCGUGCCGUGUCGGGCUGGCCCGCGGCCCGAAAAAUGUGGGCCGUGCCGGCCCAGCAUAGCCCACAUUACAUGCCUACUUAUGCACGGCCCACAUUACAUCCCUACUUAUAAUACAACUGACUUAAGUUGCAUAUACUUUCUUUAAGAGAAACUCUUAAUAUAGAGUCAGCGACUGCAAUGAUACUAAAUGAAUUCGACAUAAUAAUUUUAAUAUUUUGGUUUUAUGGAAUAUCUAUAAAUACUAAUUAAAUGUAUUAUACUUAGAUUUUUUAUAACGUAUAUAAGAAUACUCUAAUGGGCAUUUUUAAGUGAUGUAUUUCUUUAUUUAUAACUUCUUCAAUAUUUAAUUUUUAAUAAUAAUAUAUAAUAAUUAAUUAAAAUAAUAUUUACCCACUAAGAAUGUAAGGACUGAGAUUUUUGACAGUGCAACUAAACUCUCUGUUGAUGAUGUUUAUGUGUGUAAUUUAAUUACAUAAGCACUCGUCAAGUUUUAGGAGAAAAUGAGCUUAAACGGAGAAGUUACGCGAUUAUUAGUUUUCACUUAAGUGAAUAGUAACUCCGGUUUUCCGGAGAAGCCACGGAGUAGAGUUGGCUUCUGGUGCGUAUCGGACUCCGUUCAUAUCAGUCCAAUAGCUCGUUUCGACCGGUUCGGCUGUUCUGGAACUUGUGGCGCUAAUGGAUUUUGAGUUUGACGCACGAAUUUCGAGAAAAUCCAAAAAUACAUGUUUUAUAUGUAUUUGUGCGUGAGUGUUUCCUUCUAUUGGAAGAAGGUUGGAUUUUGUCGUGAAUCCGUGGUCGAUCGAGAUGAAUCGAAGGUGUAGCUUUGUUGUCUCCGAGGUGCUGAUCGCACUGGUGCAAUCCGUUCGCAAAUCUGACGGACGGAUCUGCGGAGAUCGCGCGUUGAUCGAGGAGAGGUCGGUGUUGGCAAAACGGUAGUUUCGCAAAAGUCGCGACAUUUUAUGUACCGUUUCGCGUGAAAUCGCACGUAGAGGGGUAUUCGCGCGUUUUACUUGUGCUGUGAGGGACUGGGUAAGAAAUACCAAGCUUCGGUGGACUUUUGUGCAAAAUUGCACUUAGUAUACAAUGUGCAUCUAGGGUUUCUAUGCACGAAACCCUAGAUCUGGCCGACCCUGUCUCCCAGCUGUGCCCUAACCGCCAUCUGCAGGUCCAUGCCCUAGCAGUGCGCGCAGUCCGGCCGCCGGCAAGCUUCCCCGGCCGCCGGAAACCUGGAUCGGUCUCUCCUCUACCAUCUUCUCCACCUAGCCACCACAUUCGUUGGUCUUCGAGCUCGUGAGGGAACAUGGCCAUGUGCCGAACGACAUAGCCAUGUUCCGGUUUGGGCACCCGUGGUUGGAGGACAGCGCGUAGGACUUGGCCAUGUCUGCCUGGGAACAUGGCCAUGUCGUUCGCUGAAGGGUGCCACCAACAUGGCCAUGUCUGGUUGGGAACAUGGCCAUGUCGUCUCAUUUUUAAGACGUUAAAGCGUCUAAAAUUGUGUCUUUCUACUGGAGUGCAGCGUGUCUCAGGCAAAGCGCAGAUAAACUGCGGUUGCGUUGAGCUCGAACAGAGCUGUGAGAGGUCUCGACAGCUGUUCAGGGGUGACUGUCUUUGACCCAGAGUGUAGGCCGCUGACACCCUUCGUGUACUCGCUGUGCUUCAAGUCGGUGCAUCGCGCGUGUCGCGGAUUUAGUGUAGAUUGUGCGUUUGGCCCCUUGGCAACUGGGGCUGCCUCCACUCUUGCUACGAGUCGUGCCUCAUUGCUACUAGCACGAGUGAAGGUGACAGUAGCCCCAUGGAAGCCUAACGGGCUUUCCACUGGCCUUGGGAUUUGAUGUCACGACCUUGAAUUUUGUCAUCGUAUGGCCUCACGUCCCUCGAUCCCAACCGGCGGCCGCCGGCCUGCCGCCCGCGAGGCCGGCCCCUUCCCACGCCGUGCAGCCUCCCCAGGCCCCGUUCACGACCGGCCGCCGCCCACCGCCGGCCACCGCGCCGCCUCCUCUAGGUUAGGAGCUGAACGAGAGCCCAAGUUCCCAAGGGCCGCCGCGCCGCCGCCGGCCUUCUCCAGCCCCACCGCUGCUUGGCCGCCGCCUCCGGCUCCUCUUCCGCCACGUUGGGGGCCAACCGCCGCCGCCGCGAACCUUCGGCUCGCCCGGGCUGGAGCCGGGCGUACCCAGACCCGCCGGCGUCCACUGGAGUCGCCGCUGGCCGCCGCGCGCCCCUGCCGCCCCCUGCUCGCGCGGCCCAACGGCCUCCAGCGGCCCCAGCUGUCCUCCCGCCGCAACGGUUUCUCUCCGCAGCCGCCGAGCCCCUAUGGCUCUAGUGGGUCCGAGCCGGACCCACUGACGCCCACCGGCGUCCAUCGACCCCGCCGCGGCCGCCGCGCACGUCCGCCACUGCCGGCCGUCCCUGCCGCGGCCCCUCAAGGCCCUCCCACUGCGAAGGGUAGGGCUCGCCGUCGUCCCGCUCCUCCUCCUCCAGGGUGCCGGAGCCGGUCUAGACGAGUCUAGACCGGCGUAGAUCGGUCCCGCCGCCACCGCCGCGAGGCCCCGCCGGCCCUGCCGCCGCCGGCCGCCGCUUCUACGACCUCCUCCCAGAGCCGGUCUCCCACGUCAGAGCUGCACCUACCAGUGGGGANGUAUAUGUACUUUUGGACAGUCACUACAGUUGUGAUACUUCGUUGAUGGUUGAGAUUUUGGGAUUGUAUACUCUUUGUUCUUUUGUUGAUAUAUCGACUUGUACAUUGCUCUGAUAUCAGGAUAGGACUCUCCUUGUUUUACUUCCUAUCGACUUGUUUUUUUUUCGUAGACGCCUUAUAUACUGCAGGUGUAUGGCGGGUCUGUGCACGUACCGGAUAUGCUUCCGCUGGUACCCGGGCGUGACACAAACAAAUAACAAUGAGCGGGUGCUCGCAAGCGAGCCAUCCAAACUUCUGCUUACUCCGAAACACAGCUUUCCUUCCUUGCCUAUUAUCAUUGCCACUGCUAUUAAAAAAAAAAACUAAUGCCAAAAUCAAGAAAAUAAAACAUGUAGUGAAAAUUAGAAAAAAAAAAAUAUUAGCAAAUCUCAGUGGAAAACUUAGGUUAAAAUAAUAUAACAACAUAAGUUUCACCAUGGUAAGAAAAUAGCAGUAGCAGGAAUGCAUUGCUGAGAAAACAAAAAGCAGAAAAAAGUUUAAUCAGUACAGAUAGAGAUUUAAAUAUACUUGUGCCGAAACCGAGCUAAUCAAACAAACAAUAGUGAGUAGUUGCUUGUGAGUGGGCUGACCAAACUUUGAAAUUUUUGCUUGCUGCAACUCAUAGUUUUUUUCUUCGCUUACUGUUACUGCUUGGGAUACCAAAGACAGAUAAAAAAAAAAACUUUAAAAUAUAUCGGGAACAAGAAAGCAUUUAGCAAAUACAGAUUAAAUUAUUUAAAUCGAUAUAACCUAGUAUAAGAAUAAAUCUUUAGAACAUUAUGUGUACAGAAAACAAUCACAUUAUACACAAUGGAAGAAAAAAAUAGAAAAAAAGAAAAAGAAAAAGAGUUUUACACAUAUUUGAACAUACGGUGAAAAUCAGAAAAAUAAAACAUGUAUUGAAAAUCAUGAAGACACAUUAGAAAAUCUUGGUGCAAAAACGAACACAGCAAACAAAUUAGGAAGAUUCAGAUAUAACCACAGAUCUCUCUCUUAUAAAAUUCUAUAAAAUCUUUUCCUCUCUCCUACUACUCUCUCUCUUAUCCCUCCCUUGUUGGAUCGCUCAAUCAUAUCAUAUCAUAUCUAUCUAUACAUCACAUUAUCUGACACUCCUAAGAAAGCCACCUGUGCUCUCUCAUGACGCUUCUCUCUCCCUCCUCCCUCUUUUUAUCUCUUAUAAAAUCCUAUAAAAUCUUACAGAUCUUCUCAUCUCCCUUCCACUCCAUACUCUCUCUCCUUUACCCUCCCCCAAUCUUUUUUUAACAAAAUUCUAUAAAAUCUUACAAACUCUUCUCAUUUCUCUCAUACUACUCUCUCUUAUCUCUCAUUCUUACUAAGUCUCUCAAUCAUAUCAUGUCCUAUAAAGUUUUAUAAAAUUUUCUUUUCUCCCUCCUGCUACUUUCUCUCUCUCUUACUGGAUCUCUCAAUCAUAUCCUAUAAAGUUUAUAAAAUCUUCUCAUUCUCGAUCUCUUACUGGGUCUCUCAAUUAUAUCAUAUCAUAUCUUAAACGAUCUUCUCAAAAUCCUUCUAAUAUUUUCUUUGUUUUGACGAGAACGGGGAUGAGAAGAUCUCGCAUGCAGAGCUGCAGAGUUGCAUGCGGAGCAGCAUCAGGGACGAGCUGUCGGCCGGGGCGGAAAAAGUAGUGGUAACAAUUUAUUACUAAUGUAGAUAUUUGUGUUGGUUUUUUUAAUAAAUCAAUAGGCUUAUAAUUAGGGGUGUAAAACGGGCCGGGCGGCCCGCGGCCCGCCCGGCACGGCACGAGAGUGGGCCGGGCCAGGCACGGCACGAGUACUGUAGCAUGCCGUGCCGGCCCGGCCCGGCCAGUUAAAUCGGGCCGUGCUGGGCCUUGCUCCUGCUGCCCGAUGGCCUAGCAUGGCCCGGCACGACAUAGGCCUGGGCUGUGCCUGGCCUAAAGGGUACCCAGGCCUGGCCUGGCACGGCACUGCCCGGCCCGUGUGGCCAGGCCCUCCCGAGCCGGGCCCAGGCAGGGACUUGGGUACAACCCAACUCCCAAGGCCCUGCAUCACCCAACUCCCAAUGCUUUGGGAGUUGGGCUGUUGCUUUGGGACUCCCAACAGUUAAAAGAGUUGGGCUGUGGCUUUGGGAGUUGGGCUUGGACUAAAAUGCCCUUCCCAACAGUCAAAAAUUUGACUGUUGGGAGGAUAUUUUGGUCCAAAAAAUUUAAAAUUUUAAAAUAAUUUAAAAUUUUAAUAUUUUUAUAAAUAUAUUUUAAAAUUUUAUUUUUUUUGCUGAUUUUAUUUUUAAAAAAUUAAUAUUUUAUUUUUUAUUUUAAAAAAUUUAAAUAUGUUUUAAUAAAAUUAAUAAAAUAAAAAGAGGCGGCCUGAAGCCGGCCCGGCCCGGGCACGGGCCCGUGUCAGACUCCGGGCGCGGGGGCAUGGCUGGGUGGGUUCCAAGACUUUAGGCCCGGCCGCAACGCACGGGCCGUGCGUGCCGGGCUGGCCCGCGACCCGUUCGGCCCGAAAAAUGUGGGCGGGCCGCCCGGCACAGCCGCACUUUACAUCCCCUACUUAUGCACGGCCCAAUUACAUCCCUAUUUAUAAUACAACUGACUUAAGUUGCAUAUACUUUCUUUAAGAGAAACUCUUAAUAUAGAGUCAGCGACUGCAAUGAUACUAAAUGAAUUCGACAUAAUAAUUUUAAUAUUUUGGUUUUAUGGAAUAUCUAUAAAUACUAAUUAAAUGUAUUAUACUUAGAUUUUUUAUAACGUAUAUAAGAAUACUCUAAUGGGCAUUUUUAAGUGAUGUAUUUCUUUAUUUAUAACUUCUUCAAUAUUUAAUUUUUAAUAAUAAUAUAUAAUAAUUAAUUAAAAUAAUAUUUACCCACUAAGAAUCGGGGGCCUAUACUAAUAUAAUAUAAUAUAAUGGUAGCGCUAGUAGUUGCUGCAGUACUACUACUAAUAAUAAGAUAUUUAAUAUUAUAUUAUAAUUAUUAUUAUAAGAUAUUUUAAUAUAUCUAAAAUUAAUAAGCUAAGCAUAACAUAAGAAUAACUUUAUUCCUAUUACCGACUGCCCCUAGAGCAAGUGGCAAAAGACUUAGUAGUUGGUAUCCGAGACCCAAGUUCGAAUCCUAGUUGAUUCACAUUUCUAGCUAAGUCUAUUUCUAAAUGAAAUAAACGAAGCGGUAGCGUGGUACCUAUCUCUCAAAAAAACUUUAUUCCUAUUAAAAAGUUAGAAUAUUUAUUUCCAGAUUACUCUAGAAUUAUCUAGAAUAAUUCAGUUUGACUAUGGAAUAGCUAUUUUUGUACACUAUUUUGGCGGAAAAAGAAUUCUAAAUUUUUUUGUCCUCGGUUUUUUCUAAAACCAAAUAAAGCUUCAGAAAAAUUAUUUCUUCAAAAAAAUGUUUUCCAUAGAAAAUGCUUUUUUUCAGAGUUUUCAUUUUUUGGAUAAAAAGUUGAAAAAUGAAUACACUUGAUUUUCAUAAAAUUUAGAAUUCUUUUUCUAGAAAAUUAUUUUUUUAAAAACCAAACGUAGAAAACAGUAUUUUCCAAUCCAAAAUGUAUUUUCUUAUUAGAUAUUUUCGUAGAAUUGAACUCCCUACAUGUAAAUCAGUAAAUUACACUUUGGCUCGUCAAACUAUACGGUGACUGAUACUUUUGUUUCUAAAUCUUUAAUUUAUUAUACUUUUUGCUUAAAUCUUUUAAAAUUAUUAUAACCAAGUCCCACUGUUGGAUAAAAUUAAUUAAAUACUCAAAAAUCAAUCGUCGCAAAAAUCACAUAAAUUUUUACAUACCUCUUUCUGGUGCGGAAUUGAUGUUGUGAUUAUCAGGAUCUGAUCUCGUCUUGUUUUACGAACUCGUUGAUCCGCCAACGUCCUGUCUCAAUUUGUUGCACGUUGUUCUUACUCGUUGCAAUCCGGCUACUAGAGUCGAUCACCGCACACCGCCCAAAUUCCUAGGGUUUAUGAUGGUGCCCUAGAGCGAACCCGAGAGAGAGAGAAUUUUGGUGGAGAGAUGAUUCUUAUUUUUUUCGUUAUCUUGUAUGUGGUCAAUACCUCAUGUAUUUAUAGGCCAUAAGGGGGACGUUAAUCCUAAUCAUAUUCUGACUAAAUCUCACAUAGAUAGAGAUUUAAACAGAUUAGGAUUUAUCAGUUAGAUUUAUUCUUUAUCCAAGUGGACUAGAAAUAUAACAGAUAAUUAUAAAUAUUUAUUUCUUAUCCCAUAUGGAUUAGAAAUAUUUUAGAUAAGUCCCAAUAUGGACGAAUCGUAAUAUCUCCCACUCGUACACACUUGGUACUUAUUCAUACUUUCUCAUCCCAAAUAUAUUCUUAUCUCGUUCUGCUCUUCAUACGAGAAAUGGUUGGUGCGAUCAAUAACGAGAAGAAUCAUAAGUGAGGAGUGUUAUAUUAAGCCACCAUCCGAACUAACAUAACACUACAACUCCAAAUCUCGUCUAUACCCCAAAUCACUGAACUACACCAGAUCAUAGCAUCUCUGAUCCCUUAGAGCAAACUAGAUCUCUCUCAUUAAUGUAUUUGUUCUCAUGAUUAUAUUGACAACAAAUAUCAACAUAAUCGCCCAGGCAAUGAGUAACAAAUCAUAGGUAUAUUAUCAAAUGAUUUUUCAUUAGAUGCCCCAUGUCAAUCCAUUUCAACUUGACUGCUUUCCUAGACAUGUUCCGCUGGACCGAAUCAAUCAUGACCCUUGAAUAUCAUGCUAAAGUAGCAUCAUCAAGUAUCCACUUCAUAACAUGGUUCUAAGUCCCAAAGGGUAUGCAAAGCUCACACAGCGACGAAACGGGAAUCAAUUUCGUCACUUUCUAAAACAUAGUGAUCGAUCUUGCACAUACAGUAUGAACGUAUGCUAUGGUGGAGCUACCUCUAAGGACAUGUCACGCUCAAAACACCAUACGAAUGUCGAUUUUGUUGUAACUUAAGACAACAAACCUCAAGACAGUCACCCACAUAGUGUCUUCUUUACAUUCGGCUUCAUACAGGCCGAGUAGAGUCGUGGACCAUCUCUACUAUCGACUUCGUACAGUCUCAUCUUAGCUUAUCUAAGGCGACAUUUAAAGUUUAAACACUCGCCAGCUCUUAUAGUGCAAAGUGGAUCACCUGCAUUACUAACUACAUUUAUGUGAUCUUAUUUGUCUCAUCCUGCUCGCUCUCCUAGCGACAGGGCGAUCACCCGUGUGAGAGGGCUGAUCAAUGGCCUGGUAACAUUCAUUCUCACAAGGAUAUUGUGCACUAAUUUAAAAUUAAAUAAACAUGUAUAUGAAUGAAAAAAGAUAUCAAAAAUAUUUAUUAGCAAAAUUAUUAAUACAAGAUAUAUGAGAGUCAAGCCCUACACAAACCCAAUCCUCUAACAUGUUUAUGAAAAACAUUUCUAACAAGGGGUUUGGUAAAAGGAUCUGCUAUCAUAUCAUCAAUAGAUGCAAAUUUAAUUACAAUCUGUCCCUAUGCAAUUAUAUCUCUAAUGAAGUGAUAUCUAGUCUCAAUGUGUUUAGAUCUUCCAUGAUACUUUGGAUCCUUGGCAUAAGCUAUUGCUGCUUUGUUGUCACAAUAGAUAAUAACAGCAUCAUCAGCAUGAGCUGUUACACUCAAAUUUAUCAUAAAUCUCCUUAGCCAAACAGCCUCUUGUAUUGCUACUGUACAUGCAAUGUACUCCGAUUCCAUAGUUGAUAAGGAGACACAUGGUUGUUUCUUGCUACACCAUGAAAUAGCAGCUCCUCCAAGUAUAAACGCAUAUACCGAGAUAGAUUUGCGUUCAUCUCUAUCUGCGAAUCCAUCAGCGUCGGUGUAUCCCGUCAAUCUAAGCUCUCCUUCAUGAUAGCAUAGAGCAAGGUUCACAGUACCUCGCAGAUAUCUGAAAAUCCUUUUAACUGCUUGCCAAUGUGCUGCACUAGGAUUACUCUGAUAUCGACUAACCAUACCAACAGCGAAACAUAUGUCUGGUCGAGUACAUAUCAUUGCAUACAUCAAGCUGCCGACUGCACUCGCAUAUGGGACUUUUUUCAUCUGCUUUCUCUCUUCUUCUAUUUUAGGGCAUUGUUCAAGGCUAAGAUAAUGACCCUUUUCCAUUAGAGUGUCAAUAGGUUUCGAAUUAUGCAUUCGGAAUCGCUCCAAAAUUCUUUUAAUAUAAGUCUCUUGAGACAAACUUAAGAAUUUUCGAGAUCGAUCCCUAUGGAUCUUGACUCCCAAUACAUAAUCUGCUUGUCCCAUGUCCUUCAUCUCAAAAGUUGAGGACAACCACUUCUGUGUGGUGAUUGUUAACUCCAUAUUAUUUCUGACUAACAAGAUAUCAUCUACAUAUAGUGAAAGAAUAAGAAAACAUUUUUCUUCCCUUUUAACGUACACGCAAUGGUCUUCUUCGAUCAUCACAAAGCCUAUUGAUAUAAUUGCUCUAUGAAAACGUUGAUACCAUUGCCUAGACGAUUGUUUCAAGCCGUAAAUGGAACGUUUUAAGCGGCACACUUUGCGCUCUUGUCCUUCGGCUAUAAAACCAGGAGGUUGAUUCAUAUAAAUCUCCUCGUCUAGUUCUCCAUUGAGAAAUGCAGUCUUCACAUCCAUUUGGAACAGUUCCAAAUCUAAAUGUGCGACGAUAGCCAGAAUCAGGCGAAUUGAGACAAACCUCACCACUGGGGAGAAUGUCUAUUCAUAGUCUACUCCUUUUUUUUGGGUGUAUCCUUUCGCCACUAAUCGGGCUUUAUAUUUGUCAAUUGAUCCAUCCGCCUUACGUUUUAUUUUAAAGAUCCAUUUAUUUCCAAUAGUUUUUCGUCCAGACGUAAGAUCAACUAACUCCCACACAUUAUUCUUAGCCAUAGAACUCAUCUCAUUCUCCAUAGCAGCUAGCCAUAUAUCACAAACUGGUGAACUCAUAGCUUCAGCAUAAGAAGCCGGCUCAUCAACAUCCGUAGAAGCACACAUGAACGAUUCCCCUUCAAUCUCAAAUCGACGACGGGGAACACCUCCACGUUUACUUCUUCGUAAUGAUGGACUUUGUGAGCCAUGGUCAAUCGGCACACUCCCACUGACCAUAGGAUCACUCCCACUGUUUUGGGCUAUUUCUUCAUGUGGCCUCAGUGCCUCAUUCUCGCCUAACAAUGGGACAUUUUCAUUAGGUUCUUGCAACUCGUAUAGUGCAAGAUCCUUUUUAAUCUCACCAAUGUCUGAAAAAUCAUUCUCAAGAAAAUCCAUAUCACGCGACUUUAUCUCAGUCAUUACUCCAUCAGGAUGCUUGCCAUACAUCACAUAGCCUUUCGAGCAAUCAGAAUAUCUAAUAAAAAUUUAUUUAUUUGCUCUAGGGCCUAACUUUCCAUAUUUAUGGGAAGUAUUAUGCACAUAUCCUGCCGAUCCCCAUGGUCGUAAGCCUUUCAAAUUUGGCUUUAUUCCAUGCCAUAACUCAUAGGGAGUUGAAGGAACUGAUUUAGAGGGCACUCGGUUAAGUAUAUAGGCAGCAGUCAACAACGCAUCACCCCAAAAACUAAUUGGGAGGUUGGCUUGCGCCAUCAUUGACCUAACCAUUUCCAAAAGUGUCCUAUUUCUCCUCUCUGCAACACUAUUUUGUUUCGGAGUACCAGGAAUAGUUAACUGUCUGCGUAUUCCCUUUUCCUCACAUAGUUCCCUGAACUGGUCUGAUAAAUACUCUCGUCCUCUAUCAGUACGUAGAACUUUUAGAGUUCUUUCUGUUUGGUUCUCAACCUCCACUAAGAAGCGUUUAAAAUAAUCUAAAGCUUCUGAACGGUGAGACAACAGAUAUACCGAACUAUAACGGGAGUAGUCAUCAAUAAAAGUGAGGAAAUAGUACGCGCCAUGACGUGCUCUUACAUUCAUAGGUCCGCAUAUGUCUGAAUGAACUAGCUCCAAUGGAUGAGUUGCUCUACGUGCCUUACCAAAAGGCUUUAUGCAGGCUUUUCCUGCUAAACAUGGUUCACAAGGAGGUAGGCUAAGCUUAGCGAGUGACCCCAAUAGGCCUUCUCUAGCUAGUCGAGCCAUCCUUUCUUGUCCAAUGUGACCCAAUCUCGCAUGCCAUUUGAUAGAAUCAGAUACAAUAUCAAAAGAAACUAAUAAAGCAGAAUUAUUGUUAUGAUUAAUAAAAUCCAAGUCCAAAUCUAAAACAAAGAAAUCAUUCUUUAAAUAACCAUUACCAUAAAAGUCCUUGCCCAAAUAAAUAGCUAACUGAGUAUCCGUAAAUUGAAAAGAAAAACCUAAUCUAAGUAACGCUAAAACUGAUAGUAGAUUACAUCGGAUGUUCGGUGCAUACAGCACAUCAUGUAAUAUCAAAUAACGAUCAUUGCACAAUCUAAGUUGGUAUGCGCCAAUUCCAAGGACUUCUUCCUCAGUGCCGUUUUCCAUCAUGACAUAAUGGCUGCUAGCAGAUACCCGACGAUAAUCCACAUAUCCCGCUCGAUCUCUCAUUACAUGCUUUGUUGCUCCUGUGUCUAUAAUCCAAUCAGAGAGAGCGUGAGCAACAAAAACGUGCGACCAUACAUAAAUAAGAGAGUCAGGAUUGGGAUUUACCUUUUUUGGCUUAGUGCAAUCACGAGCGAAGUGUCCCAUGUCUCCACAGUUAUAGCAUUUCACCUCAUUUAAAUUUUUUUUUCCGCGCCUGCCUUUUCGGCGCUUCUUAAUUCCGCCCUCAUUCGUCGCGCGGUUCCCAGUCUUUGCAUAUUUAUUUUCUCCAUUUCGGCACUUGUGCUUAGGCCACUUGCCUCUGCGCUGUCCACCGUGGGCAACGAGUGCAUUGGCACGGUUUGCCUCUCUGCGCCCCGCUUCCAACUCAAGAUGUCGAGCUAUAUUGUUGAAGGUCUUGAUACCUUCAUUAUGAGUCAGCACAACCUUGAUUUGAUCCCAAGAUGAAUCUUGUAAGGACCUUAUAACUGAUUGAACCUGUUGUUCAUCAGUGAACUCGCAACCGGCUACUUUAAGCUCUCUUAUCAUAGCAGACAUCACCCUUAAGUGCUCUGUUAUAGAAUGCUUCGGGUCCAACAAGUAUUGAUUGAAUUUGAGAUUCAAGGCACGAAGUCUUGUGGUCAAUGUGCCCCCAUAUUUCACUUUGAGCUGCUCCUACAUAUUUUUAGUAGUCUCAUAAUUCUCAAAUUCUUUGAUCAAAUCAUCGUGCAUACAGCUCAACAUUGUAUAGCGUGCAAUGCGAUCUUUCUCAAGUCACUCGUUAUAGGCUUGUAAAUCGCGACGGUGCUGAGCCGUCGUGCCUUUUUCAGGCUGAACCAUACUGUUGGUUAGAUGGCUAAAUAUCCCUUUCUCAUUAAGAAGAUAUUGAAUUUUUCUAUACCACAUGUUAUAAUUUGCUCCAUCAAGCUUAUUUUGAUUUAACGAAUCCGCGAUAGAAAAAUUUUUUAAAGCCAUUUAUCACUACAAUAAUGCACAUAAUUUUAAAUUAGGCACAAAUAUCCACAAUAUUAUUCUUAAUCUAAUUUGAUAAUAAUCUCAUCCAAUGCAGAUAAAAAAAGAUAUCAAAUUAAUUACGAAUAAAUCCACGUCACAAAAUAAAUGAUGAACAUUAUGCAAUAACACAUUGCAACUUGAAAAAUAUCAUCACAUGUAUCAUAGCAAGAAACAAUAUAUAAUAAUAGCGAUUGCAUAUCAUAAUAUUAUAUAUAAAUGAAAGACAUGCAUAAUUUACAUAAAAACUUGUUAGUCAGGAUGGAUAAGAACCAGUGGUUUGAAGUUCAAGUUGUCGGUUCCAUUAUAUAUAUAUAUAUAUAUAUAUUAUUCUCUUUUAUAAAAUCAUGCAAGCCCAUGGGUUGAGGUCGGGUUGGGCUUAGGCCUAUAUGACGUGGACUUAGAGAGCCUACAGGCCCAGUCCUACGAGGGGGCUAGCCAGGAAGCCCGCAGGUCCAUCCAGGGCGGGCCGCCCAGCAAGCCCAGCGCGGGCGGCUUCACAAGGCCACAGGCCCUGUGUAUGCGGGCCCCUGCAGGCCCUGCACUAGCAGUCCUUCCAAGCCCAGAGCGGGCAGAUCCCGCAAGCCCACAUGCAUACGGUUUGCCUCAUGUGAUUCAUUUUAUUUUAACAAAUUAAAAAUAUAUAUGAUGUUAAAAAAAAUGAAUUAUUCGAGCGAAAACAAGCACUAUAAGGCUCUGAUACCACUGUUGGAUAAAAUUAAUUAAAUACCCAAAAAUCAAUCGUCGCAAAAAUCACAUAAAUUUUUACAUACCUUUUUUCUGGUACGGAAUUGAUGUUGUGAUUAGCAGGAUCUGAUCUCAUCUUGUUUUAAAAAUUCGUUGAUCCGUCAACGUCCUGUCUCAAUUUGUUGCACGUUAUUCUUACUCGUUGCAAUCCGGCUACUAGAGUCGAUCGCCGCACACCGCCCAAAUCCUUAGGGUUUAUGAUGGUGCCCUAGAGCGAACCCAAGAGAGAAAAUUUUGGUGGAGAGAUGAUUUUUUUUUUUUGUUAUCUUGUAUGUGUCAAUACCUCAUGUAUUUAUAGGCCAUAAGGGAGACGUUAAUCCUAAUCAUAUUCGGACUAAAUCUCACAUGGAUAGAGAUUUAAACAGAUUAGGAUUUAUCUGUUAGAUUUAUUCUUUAUCUCCAGUGGAUUAGAAAUAUAACAGAUAAUUAUAAAUAUUUAUUUCUUAUCCCGUAUAGAAAAAAAAAAAAAAAAAAAAAAUCAAAUAUGGAGUUAUUUGGGGUACACUCUAGGGUUCGCACAGCAGUACUCCGAAGAAAAAGACACACACAACACGCGCAUAUAUCAAAAAGCACGGCUCCUUCCCCUGCAUAUUCUCUUCCCAUAUCUCUCUCUCCAAUUGAGUAAAAAAACCCCUCACGCACACUCUCUCUCUCUCUCUCUCUCUCUCUACCCCAAACCUCUUUUCCACUCCCUCUCCCAAAUUCAAACCUCACAGAAGCCGCUCACACCAUCCCCCAAAUCCCAAUCCCUCCUCCUCCCUCUCAAAGAUUCAAUCUUUCUCCCCUUCUCCAUCUCCUCUCUCCUCUUUUCCCUUCAAUUCCCUCUUCUUCUUCAUCUUUAUACGCCCAAGAUCCAAGUUUUCCUCUUCCUCCCCACUCCCCACCCUAAUUUUCCCCUUGCCCAUCUCUUGUUUUGGGGUUUCUUUGGCGAUUUGUAGAGGUUUGUUGUGUGCUUUUGCCCCCUUUGGAUCUGUGGGGGCCAUGUUUGUGGCGCCCCGGUCGUUCUUGAAACCCUAGGCGGCGGAGGGGGCGGAAUUAGGGUUUCGGAGGAGAUGUUGGAGGAGGAGAGGAAGUGUAAUGGGGCGGCGGUGAAGGUCGAGGAUUCGGCCAGGGAGGAGGGGCUUAUCACUUACAAGAGGCGGAAGCGCCCAAGGCCGAGUCCCGAUGAUGGAGGGGUUAGGCGAAAGAUAUCAUUUUUCCUCUUCUUUUUGUCUUUUGUUGCUUCUGCUUAUAUAGGUUUUUCUUUUUUUCUUCUUUUUUGUGAUAUUUGUUGUUAAUUAAAGGCCAUAAUUGGGUUUAACUAUCCACUUGGUGCUUAAGUUUAAUAAAUUGCCAAGGUUACUUCUUGAUGCAAGAAAUGGGAAAAUGCUUCUUGAUGCAAGAAAUGGGAAAAAGAGAUUCCGGGGAAAAAUGAUAAUUUCUAUGUAGUCAAUUACGACUAUUGGUAAAUUAAGCUUCGUUUUUGCCUUCACAUUUAGUAAUUGUGCUACACACACACACGAAUACGCUGGAAUCUUGAUUCUUGUAAACGUAUACGAAAAUAUACACUGGAAUCUUGAUUCUUGUAGCAAUAAUGAUUUAAUUGUUUUGACAUUACUUUUCUGUGUAAUAGUAAUCUCAGGCAUGUCUUGUUUGUUCUAUCUUAAUGAGGAAACAGAGCUGCUUAUUAAGUUAUCUGAUACGUGGGAAUUGUAUUUUUAUAAAGGUAUAUUUUUUUGUCUUGAUGGGAGUGUAAUAGUAAGCUUGUACGUUUAGGACCGAGCUGAACAUCUUAUUAUUAUUUUAAGUGGUUGUAAUAUCUAAAAGAUGCUGAAAUCAUGGUGUGCUUUCAUAUUUGUUUAGAAUAGUUAGUGAUUGCUAUGGAGUUGUUUGUCAUUUGAUCAAACAUUAUUGUAUGGAAUGUUUGGUGAAACUGAAAUCUGAUGAUGAUGUAGUGAGAAAUCUAACAUAGUUUGUUGUCCGUUGGGGAAAUUAUCAACCAAAACUACAAAUAUAUGUAAAGCAUGUUCUAGUUAGUUAAGCUAUAUUUUUAAUGAUACUACAGAAUUGUUAUUGAAAAUGAUUUUGGAUGUGUUUUUCUUUGAGAAUAUUCAUCUUCCUGAGUGAUAUUAUCAUAAGAAAUUUGUUUUUCACCUUAUAUGUUGUGCGGACUUGUAGGCCUCUGACAAUUCCAACAGAAAGAGGGAAAGGGAUAUUGGGUGGGACCAUGCGAUGAUGGUCGAUGGAAACAGAUUGCACUGGCAAUGCAAUUGGUGUGGACUAACACGAUACAAUGGGGGUGUCUCUCGACUGAAGUGGCAUCUCGCUGGUGGCUUCGCGGUUCGUAAGUGCCCGAAUGUUCCGGAAGAAGUUUCUAGAAUGAUAAAGAACAAUCUCUUUAUGAAACGGAGGUCCAAGAAAAGGAGAUUGGAUAUAUCCGGUGGUACAGAUAAUAUGACAAUAUUAAAUUGUUGCAAUGGCGAUGCCGCGAAUGAUGAAAAUCAUUUGCCUGUUGACCUAGAGUUGCAGGUGGAAAGUACUGCUAGGGUUUCAAAGGGAGCCACUAGACAAUCCGAGGCUGACCAUGAUCCAACUACUAAGGUAUUAGAUUUGUUCUAACUAGUUUUCUCCUUAAUGCUUGAUCUUUGGUUUUUAUGCUGCACUCUCACUAGUAUGAUGUUAAUGCCCAAUCUAUCUUUUAUUUUUCUUUUGGCUCGAUGCAUCACCUUGAAGAAAUCAUGGUGUAAUCUCACUAAUUCUGUUCAUUUCUGAGUAAUAAUAUGCUUAAUUUUGUGCUGCAGGGUAUGGAAGAUAUUACUGGCACAGUAUUAUCAAAAUGCCCUUACGAGCAAAAUGUUAAUGGUAGAACAAAUAGUAUAUGGAGCCACUGGAGAGAUGUUUUGAAAAACAUGCUGCAAUUACCAUCAAUAAGUGAUGGUGAUGGUAUAAAAAGCUGCAUAGAUGAUGCUCUUAAGUGUGGUCCUUCAGGAUUCACCAUGAAGCCUAACACAGCUAAUGGACCUAGGGUCAUAGAGAAUCAACAGGUAUCGGGAAAUUGUUUUACUUUGAUGCGUAAUUCUCUAUUCUAUGCCUGUUUGGCCUUGCUUCUAGAGUGGCUUCUUUGACUUGAAAAGCCACAACUACUUGUUUAGCAAAAACUUCUAGAGAUUUCGUUUGGCGGGAAGCUGAAACGAGCCUUUAAGUCAUACAAGUAGAAGCUCCAAUUUGAAGUUCUUCUUCAGCUUAUUGAGAAGCUUUCGGAGGGUUUAUUACAACUUUAUUAUAACUUGGCCUAACCAUCCUACUCAAACAGUACUUAGUUGAAGCUCCAGCAAGGCCAAUAACAGGACCUUCGUGAAUUUAAAUCCGGAAGUUUCUCAUAAUCAUUCUUAUUUUCAUGACUAUCAGGAUAGGUAUGAGGGGCAUUGUGAAGUAAAAACGAAUUCCGAAAGGCUAAAUAGUUCCAUUAGUUCUGCCUCAGAUGGAUCAAGAGAUGGCAAUCAAGUAGAUGCUAAUGCUAAUACUAAUACUACAAAGUGCAAGAAUGCUUUUGAAGAUAUAUUACGUUCGGAGAAGUUUGUCUUAUUAUGUGAUUUUCUUUACAAAGUUUUCCCAGAUAGCAAAAGCAAAACAUACUUUGAUUUUAGCCUAAUCAAUUCAAAGAUGAAAAAUGGGGAUUACGGGCGAUCACCAGAAUCAUUCAAUCAAGAUAUCCAAAAGGUAAUUGUUAACAUCCGCCUCAUGUUAUCUUUCUUCUUCUCUUAGUUCUUUUUCGUUUUUUCCCCUUUAAAUCUCUAUUUUGUGCUUUUUUGUAGCUCUAUUUAGUAUGUAUGCGUUACAGCUCGAGAUGCCCUUAAAGUGUCCUUGUUGUUAUUGAGGGAGCAAUAUAAGUAUAGUUCGGCAGCAAAAGAGUUCUGUUUGCUCUAGAUUCAUGGUUUCUGCCUCUUUUUUUUCCCGUAGAAGGUUUGCACAUAUUUUUGGGUUUGAAUUAAAGAUAUCAACUGUAGGGUCAAUUUAGCUUUCAAAUACAAGUUGAAUUUGCACGUAGCGGGAAAAACUUCUCUUCCUUAUUCUAACAAAAAAAAAUAAAAAUCGAACUAUAUUUGAUGGAUCUUGCAAGUUAAGAAUUGUUGAGAGUUUAAGAGAAGUGCUGAGAUUUCAAAAUUAUUUCAUGUUGCUUGAUUAUAACUGGUAAGAACUCUGUACAAUUCAACCAAAUUGAAAUCAGUUAAUCUUGUUGGAUAAGACAUGUAUAAGCUUUCUUACAUAUUCCACAUUAUAAGUUUUAAUGUCCUUCUGUGCUUUUCCACUUUCCUCUCAGCCAUGCAUAGUUUGAAAUGUCCUCUUAUUGCCAUGAAAGAUGUAAUGGACCAUCAUUUUUUUUUUUUUUUUUUCUAUUUGAGUUUCCUGGUUUUGUUUGCUCUCCAGGGCUCUUAAUCAUCAGGAAACUUAAUAUACAAACCACGUUUUAAUCUAUUCAUCUGUAUCAAUUAAAAUGUAACAAAUUGACGUGCCUCUUUAAAUAUUCCUGCAGGUCUGGGAGGAAAUGCAAAAAGCUGGUCAGAACAUAAUUCAUCUAACAAGCAGCCUCUCAAGUGUGUCGAGGGCUUCUUAUCAGAAGCAGGUACUAUCUGUGGUCCUCUCAUAUUAAAUUUUUCUUAUCAGCUUGAUCCGUUUGUGAAUUCUGAAUACCCCCUGCAAAUGCGCAAAUUUGUGCAAAUACCUCUGCUAAGUUGGUAUUUGCAUAUGAGCCAUUGGAAAACUUGUUUAUUUACACAUACAGGGGUAUCUAUGAAAAAAUGAUUUUUGUGUUUAUGUCCCUCACCAGCAUGAAUGCAGAUAAGUAUGGUGUCAAAGUUACGCAUGCAAAUACCUCUCUGCCUGGAUAUUCAAGCAAUUUCCCAUGUUUCCAAGGGUAUAUAUGCAAAAAAAAAAAAUCUUGAAUUUGAGAAAACGAUGAGGAUCCUUAUAGGUCCUGAAGUUUUUAUUUAUUACCUAUCUUCUGUUAAAAUUCACACCUUUGAAUGUGAUGAUCUUUGUAAUCAUGCCUCUAUGUGGGCUGAUCCAAGCUAAAUCUGUAUAGAUUGAUGGAGAUUUGGAACUUGGGGCGGGUGAACACAAGUCCAAGGCAAGUGACAUUUACUCAUGUUUUGUGAAUUUUUGGCAUAUUUAACCCUGCAGAUAUGCGGGAUUGCAUAAGUAAACUUUAUCUGCAGGAAUUGCAUAAUUAAACUUACAAAGUUAGUAGACGGAUGCAUGCCCCUGGAAUCUGUAUGUUUGCAUUCAUGUCCCUGCUAGGGUAUAUAUGUAAAAAAAACCAAAUUUCCUUUUGUACAUCAAUGGGGUCGCAUCUUCAAAUAAGCAAGCGUUUUAGGCUGGGUUGCACACUUAAAUAACAAUUUUACAGGGGUAUAGGUGAAAUCUCAUAAAAUUGCAGGGUUGUAUAAUUGAAAAUCCAUAUUUUGGUCGAUAUCAUGUGCUUAAUUUAUUUAUUAGAGUGUUCUUUACUCAAUAUUACAUUAUUAAUGCAGGAGAACUGUGUUGUUGAUUUGGAACCGAAGAACUCCUUGGAGUCACACACGACCGUGCAGUUCACUUCCUGCAAUUCAGACCCAUCCACUAAGCUGGAUCAAACUGAUGCCUCCGUCCCGUAUAAAAUUUUCUCAUGCAAACACUGUGGUCGAGAAGCUAAUGGUGAGCAAACCCUCAUGUGUGAUGGGUGUGAAGAGAUGUACCAUUUAUCAUGCAUUCAGCCCCCAAUCAAACCAAUCCCGACCCGUAGUUGGUACUGCAUGGUCUGCCGCACUAAUAGUAUACAGUUCAAGUCCUGCAAUGUGGACCCAUCUACAAAACCAGAUCAAACUGAGGCCUCCGGCCUAUACAAAAUUUUGCCGUGCAAACAGUGUGGCCAAGAAGCUAAUGGCGAUCGGAGGCUUAUUUGUGAUGGAUGCGAAGCAAUGUACCAUUUCUCAUGCCUCCAACCGACUGUCAAAUCAAUCCCGACUAGGAGUUGGUACUGCACCACCUGUCGUCCUGUUCAGAAGGAAUCGCCCAAAUCUCAUCAAGACAGCUUGCAUGAGAAUUGUGUGGUUUGUGAUCGCCUUGAGGUCUCCGAAACUGUGGAAGCCAAUGAGAAUGGAAGCGUGAGAGAGGGCUCAGAACACUCUAGUUUGGAGUCCAAGGACCCUCCGGGACUUUCUAGAAAUGCUCUCUCUCGCUUGUGCAAGCUAUGCGGAGCGUGUGAAGACGACGACAAGAGAUUUCUAAUCUGUGGCCACGUUCACUGUCCUUACAGGUACUACCACAUAAGAUGCCUAAAGACUUCCCAAAUUGCUAGCGAGGCGCAACGAAAUAAGCCCUGUUGGUAUUGCCCUUCUUGCCUAUGCCGAGCUUGUCUCUCUGAUAAAGAUGACGAUAAGAUUGUGUUAUGUGAUGGUUGUGAUGAGGCGUACCACAUAUAUUGCAUGGAACCACCUCGGAGUUCUGUGCCCAAGGGGCUAUGGUAUUGUAUUCCGUGCAACGUGGCAAGGGCAAAGGAGGGGAUGAGGAAGUAUGAACAGAUGAUUUUACAGCAACAUAGAAAGAAUGAUUUUAAUAAGGUAGGUUACGAGACUAACGGGUCGGUGGAUUUGCUGCUUAGUGCUGCGGAGAAGUUGAAGUUUGAGGAGCACAUCAAUGGCAAGUAGAGAUUUAAGGUGGGUACUAAGGCCUGAAACAUUGCUGUUUAAGUCCGAUAAAACUGGAGGAUUUUUUGAUUGGAUUAGGCUGAGUUUUGUCUCACCUUUUCCAUGUACUAAUAUUGUACAAUGUUGGUAAGGUAAUGGUGUAUGGUGGGAGAAGAAUAUGCAGCUGGAUAAAAUCUCUGAAGAAUCUUGGCAGAAUUUGUAUUUUGUGUAUUCAUUUUACCAAAAAUGUUAGAAAGCAGAGUAGAAAGUUGCAGGUGUUUCUUCCUUUUUUUUUUUCCUCUUAUUUCUUUUGGGUUUAAUUUUGCUAGUGCUGUUCAUCAGUUGUAAUGCCCUUGAAGCAACAUUUUGUUAGGGCAUUUCCCCUUAUGAAAUUCCCAGUGUAUUAUGUGUUUCUUUAUGAGAAAGAAUUACUGGUCAUGUACCUCCUGGUCACCAUGCUGUAGCAUUACUACUACUACAUACAUUCAUCACGGAUGUACAAAUAAUUCAAUUUUGUUGUGAAAGUAUGUGACCGCAUUAUGUUCCUUUUUACCAAUGUUCAUGGUGCUCUUGGUUUGAGCUUUGAUAUGUGGUUUUAUGUUUUAGGACAUGCAAAAGGUUUCUGUAAUAUGUGUGAUGAUGUAAGAGAAUCGGAAAAUUUGAAAGUUUUAUUCCUUGAGAAUCGUGCAAUCAUGAAAUCAAUUUUGUAUUUCCUAUAAGGACUGAUCUCUGAUUUGCAAGUUAAGAAAUAGAUUUUGAAAUUAUGCUUCUUUAACUAGUUGUUUGCUGGUGUGUGUCAAAUUCAAUUGUAAAAGCAAUUAAACAAUUAACUUCGAUAUUCGGGGCAUUUAUAUGCUGAUUUUGUACAUUGGAUUCACUUUGGAGUCUGCAGUUGCUGUCUUAAAGAUGCGCAGGCAUGUUUUUGUUUUACAAUAAAUGCAUUUCUGCGUACUUGGAAAAUAAAAAGAAAUCGACAAAACACAUUUUACAAACAGUUUUAAUUCGAACUGAAUUAAGGUUCAAUCCAAAAAUAUAUGUGGCGCUUGCAACUUUUCUGAUUUCUGUAAUCAGAUCCCUUGAUAAAUUCCAACCUGGAAUCUGUGACUUCGUGAGAUGUUCGUACAAUAUUAAAGGGGUAUCAGAUCGCUACUGCACGCAAUUGUAUCACAAUUUUUCGUAGUCUUUUAGACUCAUGAAAAGAAAAGGUAUCCUAAUGGUAUUGAUCACUGUAUUAAUCAUCCUUCUAAUUUCCGAAUCAAUGCAUUUGGUCUAGAACUUGAACAAGUAUAUAGAAAAAAAAUUCUGUAAAGCAGGAGCAUCUAAUCUCUCUGUUAGUUAUUAACCUUUUGGAACAAUGCUGUAAAAGGAAAUCAUCAUAUUCAUCUUUGAUAAUUGAUUGCAUCAAAGAAUUUUACUAAGCACGACUGAAUUGUAUAGAUGGAUUUUCGAACUACCGACUGGCUUAUCGAUCCAGGAAGUUCAAAGCCUCGAUAUCCCGACCUACUACACUCAAAUGGCCAGGACGGGCGGCUGUACAUUUCUAGAACACGCUCAAAAUGCAUGAGCGCUUCUUCACAGUUUACUUUUGUGUUGUAUGAAAGCAUUCUAACAGAAACAAAAGCAACUGCACUCAGUUUAUUUUUCAACUCCAAAUUGCAGGAUCUAAUUAAGAAAUUGGAGCACAUAUUUUAUCUCCUUUAUUCCUCCAGCAAACAGCUUUUUGUCAGAAUAGGAAUAGUACCAUGACACACAAUUUGUUUUCAAGCUAAAUGCUAGCUCUGCAUACAUGCAUAGCAUAGACGAUAACACCCAGUACCAUCCUGGCAAAUCUUUUGCAAGAACCGUAGCACAUCUUUGUUUUCAAGUACCUUUUUAGCCUAGCUUCGAUACAAAGUGCUGUUUAGUUAAGUUGUUUCUAUUUAAACAUAUUGCUUGCUAAGUUUUGGAUAUAUAUAUAUAUAUAGAACUAGGCUACUAUGCUAUUAAUAGCACCAGGAUAUUGUUGCUACCAAGUUUUUGGCCAUUGGAUUAAGAGAUGUGCGGUUGGGAUGAUGUGGGCCCCCUAGGUUUGAGUGGGUGGUUGGUUGAAUAGUAUGAUCUAACGGAUGAAAAUGAUCAAAAGGGUAGAUCUAACGGCGGAAAACUUGGUAGCACCAAGUGCUUCGUACUAUUAAUAGCAUAGUAGCCGGACUCUAUAUAUAUAUAUAUAUAUAUAUAUAUAUAUAUAAUUAGAACCAAUCCUAAGCUCCACCCACGCAUUAUGUGAGAUCUGAAGGUUCGAUCCCCAUCUUCAAUAUUUAACAUGUUAUCUUUCUAUAUUAUAUUUUAGGGUUAAUUUCAUACAGAUUCCUAUAAAUAUAGUAAUGACAGAUAUACCCAUAUAAAGUUCAACUUUCAUAUCUUGUUCUUACAAAAGUCAUGAUAUUUUCAAAUAUGUCCAUACCGUUAGAAUCCGUUAGAAAAAUUUAGUUAAUCAUUGGUUAAAUAUUUUACCCGGAUUCAUUUUUGACAUUUUUAUCCCUCUUAUAUUACAUUGUUAUGACUUUUGGAAGGACAUAUUUGUGACGGUAAAAUUAGAAAUAUAAACAAUUCUCUAAUGGUUCUCUAAUGGCAACAAACAGAGGAACAUAUUUGAAAAUAUUAGAAUUUUUGUAGAAACAAUAUGAAAGUUGAACUUUGUAUGGAUAUAUUCCUGAUUCACUAUAUUUGCAAGGACCUGUAUGAAAUUAACCCUAUAUUUAAUAGGUCAAAUGACUAUCUCUAAUUUACUUGUUAAUUUCAGUCUUUUAAAUUCAUUCGUAUUUAGAAGGGAUGUUAAAGAUUUUUCUAAACUAUUUGAAUGUGUGUAUAUAUAUAUAUAGUCCAGCUACUAUACUAUCAAUGGCAACUAACAUUUGGUACUAUCAAGUUUUCUGUCGUUAGAUCUACUACUUUGAUCAUUUUUACCCAUUAGGUCAUACCAUUCAACCAAUCACUCACUCAAUCCUAGAGACUACUAUUAUCCUAAACGCACAUUCUUUCAUUCAAUGGCCGAAAAUCUAAUGACACUAAUGACUUGAUACUAGUGAUAGUUUCUAUAUAUAUAUAUAUAUAGAGUAGGGCUGCUGUGCUCUCAGGAGCACGAAGGCCUCCGUGCUCUUGAGCCGUUUUCGAUGAUGGAAUUUUCGAAUCGACGUUCGGCUCCGUUAGACUUGAUCUAGUGUAUUUGAAGUUUCUAGAAAAUAAUUUUUGCGAAUUUUUGAUAUCAUUUACCUAGUGAUCGAAAUGAUUCAAAAUCAAUAAUUUUUAAUGGUUGAUAUCUGCCGUUUUCAAGUUUAACGGUGUAGAAGUAUUCAAAUCAGAUGAAAUUUUGAUACAAAAUUCUUUAUACUAUCUACAAUAAGAUCAACAUUUCUGAUAAAAAAUUUUAGUGCUAUAUCACCAGUUUUUAUAGAAUUUUUAUUUUCAGCCGUUAAAAAUUAUUGAGUUUGAAUCCUAUCGAUUGCUAGGUAAAUGAUAUCAAAAAAUCCGAUAAAAAAUUUCUCAUAAAACUUCAAUACGGCUUUAGGAUUCAAGUUGCUACAGAGGUGGCCGAAUAUCGAUUCUCGCCAAUUCCGCGCUGGCUGGGUCAUCGGGGGGAAAACGGGGGGCGGGUGGGGGCGAGGCUCGAAGGGGGGCACCGAAGGGGGCUCUCGCAAGCGGUGGGGUUGAGGGCAGGGCGGGGAGCCCUUACGUUCUCUUCGUUCUGCCUUCUGUCCUCUGGUUACCAUUAUCGUUCUGACCUAGCAUAAUUACAGCUUAACUCUCCUUUGCUGAUACAACUCAAUGGAAGAAAAAUAACAUAUAUCGAAAUAAAAAGAAAAAAAGAAGAAGAGUUUGUAUACUCACAUAUUUGAGUACAUGUUAAUCUAGGUUGGAAAUAAUCAAGAAAUAAUAAAUUAUGUUAUUGAAUAGAAUCUAUGAUUGAGACAUACAUAAUUGUGAGAAGCAUUAUAGGCUUUGGUGUGCGAUAAAACUGAACACAGCGAAUAUACAAAUCUAUGGAAGAGUUCUCAGAGGUAUAGGCCACUAUGAUCCUCUCUACUGUGAGUAAGAGCAUCUCUUAUAUAAUCCUCCUACAAUUUCCUUUCUCUUUUUCCACUGAUGCGCUAUUUCCACUCUCCUCGUCUUCAUCGAUGCUCUCCUGUCGUUUUACGUAUAUUGGCUUGUGAUAUUCGUCACUUAUUUUGACAAUAUAUUUUUUGAAUAAAACACUCCACUUCUUUAUAAAUUUUACCUCUCAGGGGGUAGGUACGUCACAUGGAGGGGUGGUGAGGGCGAAUGCGUGAGAGAAAAGCCACCUGGGUGGCUCUUCUGCGAUGAGCGCGUUCUGUGCGUGCCGCGUGCCUGGCCGCGGUGGUUUGUUAUCGUGCGUGGUAUGAAAUAUCUAUAAGAAUGGUUGACAGAGGUGCGUGUGAGUCUGCCGGUCCAGGCGUGCGGGGCAUGACUCUGUCGGUUCGCGGUGUUGAGCCUGGGCGCGCAAUGCUUUUGUAACAGAGAUUCGUAUAACAGAUCUUACGAGAACGGUUUCUCAUGUGCUCUCAGUUUACUUACUCUCUCUGUAGUCUUCUCGAUAUAAUUCGUAGUAUAAGUGGUCUCCUCUCUCACACAUACAAAUAUGAGAUGUUCCUAGUUUGAGGGUUAUUGGAUAGGAGGAGGAUUUUUCUUUUGUCAUGACACUCCGUAUAUGAUAGAUACUCUAAACUCUCCUCAUACAUGAAGUUGAAUGCUGUUUGAAUUACAUAACACCUUGAAUUUAUAAGUAAGAGUAUCGCCUGAUUUAAUUUUUUGAGUUAAUUACAUGAAUCUUUAUCUCUUCGAGAUUACGUCAGAAGCAAGAAUUCUUUUUCGCUUUAUGAGCAGAGUGCUUUUCUGUCAUAAUCACGAGAAUUUUUUAGGUCAGUAUACAUUUAUUUCUUUAAAACACGACUCUGAAAUUCUUUUACUCAACGCAUAUCACAUCCCUAUCUUUAAAUAUUUAAUUCUAUUCUUGUAGAAUCUCUUUCUUGAGAUACGAGAUAGGGAUGAGUGAGAAAUGGUCGCAGUCUCGAAUAUUCGAGAUUAUAGGUUCUCAAAUACUUUUAUUGGUGAUAGAGAAUCAAGUUCUUAGGGCAGAUGCCGGAGCAGCAUCAGGACGACGCGGCGAUCCGUCAAGUUGAAAGCGCGACCAUUGAAACCAAACUGUAGCACGGAGGCGGGGCGUAGCUACCGUGUAUACCAGCCUAGCUCCUAUAUACGUGUAUUAGUAUAUAUAUAGUAGUAUAAUAGGUGUAUAUGUCCGGCUAUAUGCUAUUUAAUAAGCACGAGUGUUUGGGUGGCUACCACUUUUCCGGCCGUUAAUCUACGUAUUUUGAUCAUUUUCACCGUUAGAGACGCUACUAUUCAACCAACCACACUCAACCCCUAGGGCCCACAUCAUGUACCGCACAUCUCUUAAUCAAGGACAAAAAUUGGGUAGAGCCCCAAUGAUUGGUGUAUUAAUAGGGACAUAGAGACUAGUUCUCAUCUUCUGCUCCGGGUAACUGAUAUAUAAUACCUUCUCUUCUCUCUUCUUCUCUGGCUCUCUCUCUAUAUAUAGGUGGGUGUAUAUAUUAUAAGAGAGUGCGAGAGGAGAGACGGAGAGAGACGAGAGAGAGAGCACUAGGCUUGGAAUACAUCAAUAGCACCAAGUGUUAGUGCUAUUAGUGUUUUUAGUUAUUGGAUUGAGAAUGUAUGCGAGUGUGUGUGUGGGCACCUGGGUUGAGAUGGGUGUGUGUGUGUGAUAGUCGUGUGCUAACGGUAAAAAUAAUCAAAGGUUAAAUCUAAUGGUGGAAAAACUUGAUUAGCCACCAAAUCCUUGGUGCUAUCAUAGUAUCUCAGCCGGACUAAUAUAGUAAAUAUAGUAUAGUAGUAUAUAUAGGUUAUAUCUAUAGUACUAUAUAUUAGUGUGGGGUAUUAUAUAGUAAAGUGAUUAAUAGUGUCAUAUAUCGUUUUAUGGCUAUUAAUAGCACGAACACUGUUGCUACAAGUUUUUCCGCCAUUAGAUUACCAUUUUGAUCAUUUUCACCCGUUAGAUCAUACUAUUCAAUCAACCACCCACUCAACCCUAGGGGGCCCACAUCAUCCUAACCGCACAUCUCUUAAUCCAAUGGCUAAAAACUUGGUAGCACUAAUGACUUGGUGCUAUUAAUAGCAUAGUAGCCUAGUUCUAUAUAUAUAUGUCACGCCCCGAGCCCGAUCCUUUUGGCCGGUUCGAGUGCGUCGAACAGACGCCGAACGGACAGAGUCUCCCCUGUCCGCCCAAGGCUCAACAUUCUGUACAAAUAGAGUAUGAAUUUUGCACAAAACGGAAGCAUACACACAAUGGCUUGCACGAGGGCAAGCGAUAGCUAAUAGUUAAAGUAAUAAACUACACUUAGAAAAUUGUUUACAUUUUUGUAUCAUUUCUUCUCUUUUACAUUACAUGAUCUCAAAAUAUAAGUUCUAGCAUUAAAAUAUAAAAUAUCUUUUACAUCAUUCAUAUUCUUUUUCUUUAACAUCUAUAGUCAUCAAAAUACAAAAAGGCGAUGUAUAAAGGUAUGCAACUAUAAAAUGGAAACCCCUUCGGGAGGUCUCUAUCUAGGGCGCGAUGCCCUUACCCCGAUCAUCCGCUGGCUCGGUCGGUCCGGGCUCUGUGGAAAUAGUACAGCGAGAACUACAACAAAGUUUCCAGUGGGUUCGGCAACCGACCACGCCGACUUUCCCACUAGGUCUAAAUUAGGCAUAAUAGAAGAAUAAAUAAAUAGUAACCAAGCUAAAGCAAAUACAGCUAAUAUGCUUAAACAAUAAAUAAUGCUAUGCUCAAUAAAGUACUCAUGAUGAAUGCAAGGUUACUGCUCAGAACCCAAUCUCUAGGCUAGCCCGUAGGUUUCGCCCACAAUAGACUCACCAACUCAAAUCCCAAAAAUCGGAGAGACUACUACACCCAGUGAUGACAACUCUGGAGCACAUCGCCGGAGGGGGAGUUACCACCCUCGAGUAAGGACUUACAGGUGAGUAUGAUCCAAUCAUUAACUAUAAGGAUGUCAAGUUCAAUCCAUUCCUUAACUAUAAGGAAAUAAUGCACAUAUGACUCUUAACUCUGAGGUUGAAAUUGUCAUAAUGUCACUAUCACACCUUUACUUGCAUUCUUUUCUUUCACUAGCGUCAUAUACACUGCUAUAUUCUUGUACACAUGCCACGCUUGUUUUCUAAGUGUUCCAAUUCUAGCAUUCUCGACUCUUCAAUGUCACUUUCUACUUCUAUAUCAAGAUGUCACAUUUAUUUACUGAGUCCACUAAGUUCUUGUCACUUGUUAUGCAUAAAUAGGGUUUAUAAAAUUCUUACAUUCUUGCUAGUAAUUCACAUGCAUUUGUACUCACAACAUGCAAUGAAAUGCUCAUAUAUAACCCUACUAUGCAAUUUUUAUGCUCAAUACACAUAUGCUCAAAUAGGACACUUUAGACAUAAAAGGAAUUCCAAGGUCUUCGGAGUGCACCGCCCACCUUAUAUGGUUGCAAAGGUGCUACAAUGAAUUUCUUGAAAUUUUUUGAAGCCCUAUUCCUUCGCCUGCGGCAAAAUGAAGCCAAAUUAGGCUUUUUCUCAAUAACUUUAUCUAAACCUUUUUAUAACGUCAAACGGAGUUGUCCCACACGUCGGGAAUACCCCUAAUUAGGUUUCCAAGAGGUCAAUUUACCUCGAAAACAACCGGAGGUAAAAGCCUCAAAAUUCAUGCCCUAACAAUGCCAUAUAGGGUUUUCUCCUUGAUUGAUCUCAUUCCUAAGUAAAAACUAGCUUAGAAUCAAUUAGCAAGCAUUCUAAUAUCAUCACUAAGUUAUUCCAAGCACCCCUAGGGCAUUUACUUUAAACCUUAGUUGUUCACCAUUAGAGCAUCUUGGGAAAACCAUGGUUUCAUGGUGAACAAAGCUCAACAAAGCUUCUAAUCAUGAGAGAAGCUCAAAACUCUAGUUCUAUAGUGAAAAUCCAAACCCUAGAUGAGUUUUUACCCUAAACUCACCUUAGCCAAAAGCUAUCUCCAAGUCCACCUUGUAGGAGAGUCCUAAAUCUUCUCCAAGCCACCAAAAUCGAAGUUUCUCCUUCAAAUCUUCUCCAAAUCCACUUUUUGGAGAGCUCUCUAGAGAGAGAAAAUAAAAUAAAUGAGAGGGAGGGGGUGAAUGGCUGUGGGAGAGAGAGAGAAGGGGUAUUGGGGUCUUAACAUGUUGUAACAAUUACAACAAAACCCUCCAAAAAGUCUUAUUUGCAGCAGUUCAAUUCUUUGCUGCCAAACCAAAGUGUACCGGUACACGGGUUCUUGUACCGGUACAUUUUUUGCUCAGAGGCAACCCGAGAGCAAACUUCUCAGAUUUUACCAAAGUGUACCGGUACACACCAGGGGUGUACCGGUACAUAUUCGCAAAAAAUCAAACCCGAGAGUAUACUCUUCUCGGGCUGCAGGGCUGUAUCGGUGACAACUCGAUGGUUGUUCCGGUACACUUUGCUCAGAAUAUUAGUUUUGUGCCAUUUUCGAUUCUAUUUCGCGUCAAUCGAUGCUAAAACCUUUCUAACAUCUCUUAAACUCAUUUUUAGCUUUUCCAACCUUAUUGGAAUGCUAAACGGAACUUGUCCAUCAAUUUCUCUCUGUACUUUAACCAAUUUGGCUAAAGUUUGAUAAUCGCUAUCGAGAUUUCAAUAGGUUACAAUAUAUAUAUAUAUNCCAUUUUGUACCCUAUACUCAAAUUCUCCUGCGCUUUGGAUCUUUUACAGCUCUUGUUUGCCUGAGACUUGUACUUGGACAUCUAAAUCUUUCUUAUUGUAGCAUAUGAUGGAUCAUUAGUUGAUACGGAUACUAGUUUGAAUUUGGUUGAUGCUUGAUUUUGUGUGGGUACGAGUCCAUAUUUCUGAGAAAUAUCUUCAUCUUUUAGCUCUUGUUUAUGUAGUGAUUAUCUUUCUACCGGACUUGUUUCUUAAUUAAACAAAGAGAUAUACUGAACAAAAUACCCAUGCAUCCAAAUACGCUUUGAGCCUUUAUAUCCUAGUAGCACUUCACAUGUAAGCAACACUUCCAUUCGAUUUAGUCAAACUGGUCUAUUACUGACUCUGUUCUGCGUUUGUAGUUUUCUGUUUCUAGUUCUUUUCUUAAAAUCUCCCCUUUCCAUUCCAGUCCCUAUGUCAGCAUUGGUAAGGUGAAAACAUGUUUGGAAAGUAUAAUUUAUCUAGAAGCUCUAAUGUGUAAGCAUAUCAAAGUCAGGAGGUUAGGCUCGGCACGUAAAAUUGGUUUCAACUUGGCUGGGAUUUUUAGGCAUAUGAAUAUCAGGAUAUGUUGUAUUUUCCUCUGUUCUUAGCAAUUUUUGGUGCUAAAUAGGGUUCUAGUACUUGCAGCUACAAUGCUUCGCAGAUAGGUGGAUGUAUGGCUCACGCGUUAUUAUGCCUCUUAAUUUUCUAAAAUUUAAUUUUCUUUCUUCUGAAAGGGACUACUAUGGAACCAUCAAUUUCAUUGGUAUUUCACCCAGGAACUUUUCUCCAUGAUUUGGCCUUUGACUCUCUUUUUUAUAGUGAUUUGAAUUUUUUUUUUUACUUUUUGUUAUUUAGCAGUAUAUGAAAGUGGAACUUGGGAAAAUAAAUAUUUAAUGUGUGAUUUGUUUGUUUGCUUAGAAAUUUUAUGAUCGAAUGCUUAGGAUUAUGACUGCUUUUGUGAAUAAUGCAGUCAUAAUCCUAGUUCUUGAUUGCAUAGGAGCAAGACUAUACAAGUCAAUAGUCUUUAAAGAAAAUAUCGAAUGCUUAGCAAAUGUGUACGUAGUUAGAGGAUGGACAUGAAUUGUCCAAAUAUGGAAGGGGAGUUAAUGCACAACCAUAAGAAAAUCCCUAGUCUUUGACAAAGUUGCAAAAUGGCCCUUCAUUUACUUCAUAUUUAGGAAAUGUAGGGAUUGGGAGCAUAUCUGGAGAAGAUAUCAAGGUGAACAAGUGUUGGCAUUAGGGCUAGAAGAGUUAUUGCAUGGGAACAUGAUGUCAUAUAUGGUUUUCACCUUGAGUGAAUCUUUUAGGGUGGUAUAGCCAAUUCAGUGGGCUCCAUGGAUGUAUUUGGAAACUUUUUUUUAUUUUUUUAAAAUAUAUUUUGUUGAAAAUGUGAAGUAACUAGGCUUUGAAUUUUGAAUUCCUAGCACCAACCAUCAAACUCUUUAAUUUUCACUUACGGUGGGGAUGAUUGUUUACGUUUUCAUAUAUUGUGUUUGUUUGGUGGGCCUAUUUUGGCCCAUAAAGGGCUUGUGAAUUUUCAUAUAGGCUUGUUUUCGAAAGUGAGGCUUAGAAGUGUGCAACUGUACAAUUCCCAUAAUGAUUUUCUUUUUCCAGAAACUUGCUCUUGAGAACAUUAAUGUAUUUUUGAUGAUUUGUUAUUAACCUCUAAAACAAAAGGAUAAUAUCUCAUAAAGAAAAUAAUCAAGUAAAUAAUUAUUUGAAUUAGAAAGCAGCAGCUCAAAUGCGUGAUAUACCAUAUAUAAAAAUGAAGCGAAGCAUAUUCACGUUCAUUAACAAAAGAGAUAAUAAAAUAGAUAGCUACUGAAAUAAACUCACUUAACGAUGGAUAUGUUAAAUGAUGUAUUCAUUUGGAAAAUUUACAUAGAACUUGUCUAAAUUAUUAGCUACUUUGAUCCAUCUAACCUUUAAUAAGUUUUGAUUUUGCUUUCUAUUUUUUAGAUUUAAGUGAUUUGAGUUGUUCAACUGCUUUUCAAUUUGUGAAUUUAAGCUUAUCUAAUUUGAUUGGAGUGCUUUAUAUGAUUCUUGAAAUAUUUAUUUCUCAUAUAUAGAUGCUUGUUUCUUCUUUUUGCAGCUCUUAAUGCCAGUUGAACCGAAUAUCCAAGACAUAGGUGGUAUUGAAAAAUUCGAAAAGAAAUACUUCAGGUUCGGCUAACUUUGGUACUAACUCAAAGCUUAAAAGGCCUAUGCGCUCUAAGGAAAUUGUAAGUUCUUUUUUUCUUGCUUAAAUUUAUAUUUGUUUGCUUCGUGGCUUCAAUGCUGAGCAACUUCCACUUCCUUUUCCUUUCGAUUUGUGUGUUCUCUCAAAUUGGAGAAUUUUUAAAAUGUUACAAAUCAUGAACCAAACAAGCCCAAAGGGUGAAUCUUCAUGCUUUAGUGUUCGGCAUUUGGUAUAUUGAUUAGAUUUAUUAGCUUUGAUUUGGUCAAAUGGUUGAAUAGGCAUGGAAUUGGACGAUUUCUAUUGAUAAUAGGAUAAUUUGCAAUAGUUGAAAUAGGAUAAAGUUACAAAUCAUUAUCGAUCAAAUCGUUAUUAAAUUAAGAUGGAUUCGGAUAUUCAUUUCUAAGGACGUGAUCUUUGGAUGAUGCAUUUGUGAUCGAAAUCGUUUAGGUUUUAUUGGUUUCGUUUUAGCUCAUUCUUGAUUUGAUAAUUGGGGUUUUGCUGUGUGGAUUGUAUCUAAUUUGGUAAAAUUGAAACAAUUGAAUACGAGAUUAUUGGGUCCAAAAUAGGUUUUGGCUGUAAUAUUUUGUGUACUUAGUGUAGUGGUUUUAUUACAUUAUUUGUUGAUUGCAACUUUGGUGCUUAAAGACAACUUUUUUUUUCUUUUUUUUUUUUUUUCUGUUCCUUAACAAGUUAAUACCUUUUUGGUUUUUAAGUUUUCAGUUGCAGUAUUAGUGUAUGGAGGAACAUGCUAUUGCUAGUAUUAAUGCUAUUAAGGCUUAUGAACUGCAAAGAAUAUAUUCUCAUGAGUUAUGGCAUAAAUUUGGUGUAUUAUAUUGUAUUAUUGAUUAUAUGUAAGGCAAGGAUUAGAAACCACUUAAAAUUUGCAGCAUCUCUUUGUUCUUUUGCUUCCUCUUUGUUCUUCUCUUAAUCAAAAUCUGAUUAAUUGCUUUCAGCUCUAACUUAAUUGAUUUCAUAUUUUUCAUCCAUUGUUAAGUGAAUUGAUAUUUUGGGGCAAUCUCUUUUGUCCUUUUGAACCAUAAAAUGUAGGAUAUUUUAGGGCAAUUUCUCUUGUCGUUUUGAAUGAUAAAACUUGUCCCAAAAAAGAGUUCACCAAUCUUAGGAAAAUUCCUAAGUUCGUAUAUGGUGGGGGCGGACCAAAACUUUUGUUGUUUCUGGUAAAAUGAUACAAUAUGAAAUGAUGCAAUGUGUCCUCACUUUUUUGGCUCUUUUGUUGUUCUUUUUUUAUUGGUGGUGGGUUCAUUAAUCAGUGCUAUAUGCUUCACGAGUUGUGGUAAAUUAUUAAGUGCAAUAGAUUGGGGAGCCACCAUCUUAAUUACUACUUGUAUAUGAAAUGGAGAUGCAUAUAUUAAAUUGCAUUUUGAGUAUGAUAAUCUGUCACUUAAAUAAUGUCUUGCUCAUUGUCAAAUAAUACCUUUUUUAAGAUGAAAUGAUUAUCUAAUACUAGAAAAUUUAUUUGUUUAGAUUUCAAACGCAUCUAGCGUUCGUAAUAUUCAUCCACAACCUCAUUGCCCUUCAGGUAAAAUUAAACUUAUACUAAUUGAUUUUUAUGUUAAAAGAUUGUUUGACUAAUCUUUUAUUAACUUCAGUAUUGUUUAAUUUGUAGGUUCAACAUCUUAAUUGCCGAGCUCACUACGACUGGAUCUGAUAUGAUAUUAUUAGCUUUUGUUUUUAUUUCUCUUUUUCUUGGGUUGAAAAGCUAGAAAUUGUUGGUACUGUGUUUUAGUGACUAAAUACUCGUUUAAAGAUAUAUGGAUACUACUUUGAGACAUUUUGGUAUUAAUUAGUGUAACUACAAAACUUCUUUUAUAUGCUUUCUUUGUUAAUGCAAAUCAAGGCGAAUAAAAUUAAAGAUAUACUUAAUGAUAAUCAUCGUGGAGUGGUAUUAUAUUUUAAAAAGUGUGAUGCAUCAAGAAAAAUUUGGAUAUUUAAAGAAAAUGGGACAGUUAUAAAGUGUCGCUUAAAUUCAAAAAAAGUGUUGCUAGAAUAUUAUUUUGCAUCACUUUUAUGUACUGCUAAAAGCUUAAAUAAGUGUCGGUAUAUUAGUAGCACUCUUUUUAGAUUAUACCGACACUCUUAAAAAGUGUCACUAUAUACCUAGUGACGCCACAUAUAGCAACACUUUUUAAAAGUGUCGGUAAUUUAGCCAGCAGUACUUUUUUUGACAUAUACCGACAUUUAAAAGUGUCGUUAUAUACCGUUUUUGUUGUAGUGGGGUAUCAGAUCGCUACUGCACGCAAUUGUAUCACAAUUUUUCGUAGUCUUUUAGACUCAUGAAAAGAAAAGGUAUCCUAAUGGUAUUGAUCACUGUAUUAAUCAUCCUUCUAAUUUCCGAAUCAAUGCAUUUGGUCUAGAACUUGAACAAGUAUAUAGAAAAAAAAUUCUGUAAAGCAGAAGCAUCUAAUCUCUCGGUUAGUUAUUAACCUUUUAGAACAAUGCUAUAAAAGGAAAUCAUCAUAUUCGUCUUUGAUAAUCUGAUUGCAUCAAAGAAUUUUACUAAGCACGACUGAAUUGUAUAGAUGGAUUUUCGAACUACCGACUGGCUUAUCGAUACAGGAAGUUCAAAGCCUCAAUAUCCCGACCUACUACACUCAAAUGGCCAGGACGGGCGGCUGUACAUUUCUAGAACACGCUCAAAAUGCAUGAGCGCUUCUUCACAGUUUACUUUUGUGUUGUAUGAAAGCAUUCUAACAGAAACAAAAGCAACUGCACUCAGUUUAUUUUUCAACUCAAAAUUGCAGGAUCUAAUUAAGAAAUUGGAGCACAUAUUUUCUCUCCUUUAUUCCUCCAGCAAACAGCUUUUUGUCAGAAUAGAAAUAGUACCAUGACACACAAUUUGUUUUCAAGCUAAAUGCUAGCUCUGCAUACAUGCAUAGCAUAGACGAUAACACCCAGUACCAUCCUGGCAAAUCUUUUGCAAGAACCGUAGCACAUCUUUGUUUUCAAGUACCUUUUUAGCCUAGCUUCGAUACAAAGUGCUGUUUAAUUAAGUUGUUUCUAUUUAAACAUAUUGCUUGCUAAGUUUUGGAUAUAUAUAUAUAUAUAAUUAGAACCAAUCCUAAGCUCCACCCACGUAUUAUGUGAGAUCUGAAGGUUCGAUCCCCAUCUUCAAUAUUUAACAUGUUAUCUUUCUAUAUUAUAUUUUAGGGUUAAUUUCAUACAGAUUUCUAUAAAUAUAGUAAUGACAGAUAUACCCAUACAAAGUUCAACUUUCAUAUCUUGUUCUUGCAAAAGUUAUGAUAUUUUCAAAUAUGUCCAUACUGUUAGAAUCCGUUAGAAAAAUUUAGUUAACCAUUGGUUAAAUAUUUUACCCGGAUUCAUUUUUGACAUUUUUAUCCCUCUUAUAUUACAUUGUUAUGACUUUUGGAAGGACAUAUUUGUGACGGUAAAAUUAGAAAUAUAAACAAUUCUCCAACGGUUCUCUAAUGGCAACAAAACAGAGGAACAUAUUUGAAAAUAUUAGAAUUUUUGUAGAAACAAUAUGAAAGUUAAACUUUGUAUGGAUAUAUUCCUGAUUCACUAUAUUUGCAAGGACCUGUAUGAAAUUAACCCUAUAUUUUAAUAGGUCAAAUGACUAUCUCUAAUUUACCUGUUAAUUUCAGUCUUUUAAAUUCAUUCGUAUUUAGAAGGGAUGUUAAAGAUUUUUCUAAACUAUAUGAAUGUGUGUGUAUAUAUAUAUAGUCCAGCUACUAUACUAUCAAUGGCAACUAACAUUUGGUACUAUCAAGUUUUCUGUCGUUAGAUUUACUACUUUGAUCAUUUUUACCCAUUAGGUCAUACCAUUCAACCAAUCACUCACUCAAUCCUAGAGACCACUAUUAUCCUAAACGCACAUUCUUUCAUUCAAUGGCCGAAAAUCUAAUGACACUAAUGACUUGAUACUAGUGAUAGUUUCUAUAUAUAUAUAUAUAUAGAGUAGGGCUGCUGUGCUCUCAGGAGCACGAAGGCCUCCGUGCUCUUGAGCCGUUUUCGAUGAUGGAAUUUUCGAAUCGACGUUCGGCUCCGUUAGACUUGAUCUAGUGUAUUUGAAGUUUCUAGAAAAUAAUUUUUGCGAAUUUUUGAUAUCAUUUACCUAGUGAUCGAAAUGAUUCAAAAUCAAUAAUUUUUAAUGGUUGAUAUCUGCCGUUUUCAAGUUUAACGGUGUAGAAGUAUUCAAAUCAGAUGAAAUUUUGAUACAAAAUUCUUUAUACUAUCUACAAUAAGAUCAACAUUUCUGAUAAAAAAUUUUAGUGCUAUAUCACCAGUUUUUAUAGAAUUUUUAUUUUCAGCCGUUAAAAAUUAUUGAGUUUGAAUCCUAUCGAUUGCUAGGUAAAUGAUAUCAAAAAAUCGCAAAAAAUAUUUUCUAUAAACUUCAAAUACGCUAGAUCAAGUCUAACGGAGCCGAUCGUCGAUUCGGAAAUUACAUCAUCGAAAACGGCUCAGGAGCACGGAGGCCUCCGUGCUCCUGAGAGCACAGCAGCCCUAUUCUCUCUCUCUCUCUCUCUCUCUCUCUCUCUCUCUCUCUCUCUCUCUCUCUCUAUAUAUAUAUAUAUAUAUAUAUAUAGUCCCGGCUACUAUGCUAUUAAUAACACGAAGCACUUGGUGCUACCAAGUUUUCCGCCGUUAGAUCUACCAUUUUGAUCAUUUUCACCCGUUAGACCAUACUAUUCAACCAACCAUCCACUCAACCCUAGGGGGCCCACAUCAUCCUAACCGCACAUCUCUUAAUCCAAUGGCCAAAAACUUGGUAGCACCAAUGACUUGGUGCUAUUAAUAGCAUAGUAGCUAGUUCUCUUUCUCUCUCUCUCUCUCUAUAUAUAUAUAUAUAUAUAUAUAUAUAGAGAGAGAGAGAGAGAGAGAGAGAACUAGGCUGGAAUACUAUCAAUAGCACCAAGCUGUUAGUGCUAUUAGUUUUUUAGUUAUUGGAUUGAGAAAUGUGCGGUUAGGAUGAUGUGGGCCCCCUAGGGUUGAGUGGGUGGUUGGUUGAAUAGUAUAAUCUAACGGAUAAAAAUAAUCAAAGGUUAAAUCUAACGGUGGAAAACUCGAUAGCACCAAAUCCUUGGUGCUAUCAAUAGUAUCCCAGCCGGAUUAUAUAUAUAUAUAUAUAUAUAUAUAUGCUUUUAUGCUAUUAAUAGCACGAAGCACUUGGUGCUACCAAGUUUUCCGCCGUUAGAUCUACCAUUUUGAUCAUUUUCACCCGUUAGAUCAUACUAUUCAACCAACCACCCACUCAACCCUAGGGGGCCCACAUCAUCCUAACCGCACAUCUCUUAAUCCAAUGGCUAAAAACUUGGUAGCACCAAUGACUUGGUGCUAUUAAUAGCAUAGUAGCCUAGUUCUAUAUAUAUAUAUGUCACGCCUCGAGCCCGAUACUUUUGGCCUGUUCGAGCGCAUCGAACAAACGUCGAAUGGACAGAGUCUUCCCUGUCCGCCCAAGGCUCAACAUCCUGUACAAAUAGAGUAUGAAUUUUGCACAAAACAGAAGCAUACAUAAUGGCUUGCACGAGGGCAAGCGAUAGCCAACAGUGAAAGUAAUAAACUACACUUAGAAAAUUGUUUAUAUUUUUGCAUCAUUUCUUCUCUUUUAUAUCACAUGAUCUCAAAAUAUAAGUUUGUCUGCCACCACGAAUGACGCACCUCGCACGGGGAAUUUUUAUCUUUGAUUUCUCCCGUGGGGUAGUAUUCAUGAUGUAGAUUAAAGUAUGUGUAAGUAUGGUUAUCAGGUAUUGCGGAUCCAUGGCUUCCAAUAAACGCAAGCAUUUAUUGUUAAUUACCCCUACAAAGUGUUAGGGUACCUUCGAUUAAGAGACCUUUGAAAUGCUGAAGAUUGAAUAAAAGAUGAACGAAGUUCAGUGGAUUGAGUUUGAUUCUGAACCGGGGUGUAUAUAACCCUAAUGUGAAUUGGGAUUCGAUCAGGUUCAAAUUGGACUUAAAUAUAUGAUAAAGUCCAAUCAAGCUCUGUAUGUUUAGAGCUCAAUUGUGUUCACCAUAAGACAAAAUCCUAAUUAUAUAUAUUAGGAUUAGUCAUCAUUUGUCUUAAAUUAGACUCUAAGUGUAUGUAUUAGAGCCCAAUUUGGUUUCACGUGAGCCAAAUCCUAAUUAUAUAUAUUAGGAUUAGUCAAAAUGUAGUUGACAUUAAACUCUAAGUAUAGGUAUUAGAGUCUAAUUUGGUCUCAUAAGGGUUCACCCUAAGGUGGUUUAUAGGCCGAAUCCUAAUUAUAUGGGUUAGGAUUAGCCGAAGAUUAAACUCUAAGUGUAUGUAUUAGAGCUUAAUCAAGAGAUGAAAUUUAAACUCCAAGUGUAUGUAUUAGAGUUUAAAUUAGUGAACUCUGAGUGGAUAUAUCAGAGUUCAAUUGCAUAUGAUUUGAUCAAUUCUAAUCAGGUAUUUUAGAAUUUGAUCGAAUUUUAAAUAGGUCAGGAUUCUAACUCUAGUUGUAUGUGCUAGAGAAGAGAUUUGAUUUGGAUUUGACAUAGGAUCAAGGGGAUUUGAAUUUGGGUUCAAAAAGGGGCUCAUUUGAAUUUUGGACUCCUUUUGGACUUAAUUUGGAUUUGAUAUGAAAAUUUGGGUUUUAUAUGGGAAUUGGGCUCAAAAUGGGCUCAAUUUGGAUUUGGUAUGGAAAUUGAGCUUAAAAUGGGCUCAAAAUGGGAAUUUGAGUUUCAUAUGGAAAUUGAGCUUAAAAUGAGCUCAAUUUGGAUUUGAUACGAAAAUUUGAGUUUUAUAUGGGAAUUGGGCUCAAAGUGGGCUCAGUCUGGAUUUGAUAUGGUAAUUGGGCUCAAAGCUGGCUCAAUUUGGAUUUGACAUGGAUAAAUAGGUUCAAUUUGGGUUUGAUUUGGAUUUCAUUUGGACUGGGUAUGAGAAUUUGGAUUUUAUAUGGUAAUUGGGCUCAAAAUGGGCUCAAUUCAUAUGUAGAUUUUGGGCUCAAAAUGGGCUCAGUUCAUAUGUGGAUUUUGGGCUCAUUUUGGGCUCAAUUUGGAUUUGAUAUGGGGAUUUCGAUUUGAUGUUGGGUUGAGAUGUGGAUUUGAUAUGAGAUUUGGAUUUGGGUUGAUAUGGGGUUUGAAUUUGGAUUCAAUAUGGGAUUUAGGCUUUGAUUUAGGAUUUUGGACUUAGGUUUAAUUUAGGCUUUGGGCUUAUUUUGGGUUUUGGGUUUAAUUUAGGUUCGGGCUUUGGACUCAAUUUGGGUUUAUGGAUUCGGGUAUGGGCUAUAUUCAGGCCCGUAUAGUAUGGACUCAGGUUGAGGCCUGAAAUUAAGUUCUGGAUGCGGGCCUAGGCUCAGUUUAGGCCCGUGUGGCUUAAACCUAUAUUUUCCUUUAGGCAAGCUACAGAAUUGGGCUCAGAUUCAAGUUUGGACUGGAUUCACAUUUGGACUGAGCUUGAGUUAUGUAAUUUGAGGUAGGUAUGGGCUCGUUCCAGAUGAGAUUUUUAGAUAGAAAUUGUUCAGAAUUUGAGAUCAAAAUAUAUGGUUCAGGAUCAAAUUCAUCAUUUAGAAAAUUUCUAAUGCAUUUUUUAUUUGUUAAAUUCUUGAUCAUAAAUCACAUAAAAAUGUCUAAUGUGAUUAAAUUUCAAUUUGGUCUAAUUUGACCAAAUAGAAAGACUCAACUUGGAUAGAAUCAAUGUUCAAUUAUUUUCGAACAUUGCAUUGUUCUUCCAAUAAAAGGACGAUCAAAAGAAUAUUAAUCGGUAAUCCGACUAAUUUUCUUUUGUCUCCUCACAUUUUUUCUUUAUCUCUUUUAUCUCUUUUACAUCCAUGGGACAACUGAGAUGGGAUAAAUUCCUUACUUGCCUCCCUAACAAAGCUCCCUCUCUCUUUCAUAAGUAGAGAAGUAAUAUCUCUCUUUUUCUCUUUUUUUUUUUUUUGCAAAGAGAAGAGCACCGCUCUCUCUCUCAGAUUCGCUGUCGAAUACUUGGCGGGCGGCUUCGUUUGAGAGGAGAUCACCGCUCUCUCUCUCAGGUUCGCUGUCGAAUACUUGGCGGGCGGCUUCGUUUGAGAGGAGAGCACCGCUCUCUCUCUCAGGUUCGCUGUCAAAUACUUGGCGGGCGGCUUCGUUUGAGAGCAGAGCACCGCUCUCCUUCUCAGAUUCGCCGUCGAGCACUUGGCGGCUUUGUUGAUGACGGAGCUCCGCUGGGGCUGUGACCUGACAGUGGAGCCACGGAUUUGAGACUGCGACGGAGGAGGACCGUGACGGCGACUUUGACGGAGCUUCUGCGUGGCUUUGGGCGGACCUGCCGCGGGUGGCGCGGCUUCAGGAAGGUCAGCAGUGGACUUUCGAAGUAUAGCUUCGGAGUGGUGAAGGCAUGGUCGAGCUCUGGAACAAGCUCGACGGCGGUGCGGUGUGGCUCGGCUGCAGUGUGGACAGCCUUGGGUUCGGAGAGGCGCUGAGUCGAACAGGUGGCGGGCAUCGAGUCGAAGCAUGUUCAGGCGCGGGAUCGGCAUGUGUCCGAGCAGGGGUGCGACUCGGGCGGCCUCGACUUCGGAUUGGGCCGUGCCCGGUCGGAGGGGGACGAUGCGGACGGCGGUCGCCGCGCCUCGAAGCUUCAAGGCGGACUUGGGCAUCACGGCGUCGGGUGCGAGAUCGGCGUGUACCCGAGCGGGGGGUGCGGCUUAAGGCAGAUCGGCCGCGGGUGGCGCGGCUUCAAGUCGAGGACGCGGGGAAGCGCGUCGCGAGGAUCGGCCGGGGCGCGCUGGAGCUCGUUGGAUGCUCGACGGAGUGAUUUCGGGCUGCUGUUUGGUUUGGGACUUUCGCCGAACAGGUGGCGGGGUGCAGAGAGGAAACUCAUAGAUGGAAGUCUUUGCGGAAGUCGUUGAAGAUGCGGCGGAGCUCGGUGGGUGCUCGACGGAGGCGCGGCGGAGACACGGCGGAAGGGCUCAGCCAACUCCAUGCGGAGCUUGGUGGAGCUUUGUGGGUGCUCAGCGGAGCUUCGGCGGAAGCGCGGGGAGCGCGUCGCGGCUCGAUCGGCAGAGGAGGCGGGGGAGCGCCUCGACGCGGAGAGAGGCAUCGUCGAAGACGGGGACGCGGGGAGGUCGAGGAGGCGCUCAGCGGAGUUGAGGCAGAGACGCGGAGAAGGAGGCCGGAGCGCGCGUCGGUGGAGCGCCUCAGCGCGGAGAGCUCAAGGAGCUCGAGCGCGCGGAGAUAUCGAGGAGGCGGCGAGGGCGACGUCGUCGAGGGCAGGGGCUCGGCGGAGGCGCUCGGCGUCUCCGGCGUAGAAGAGGAAGAAGAUGAGCGGCGGAGGAGGCCGGAGCGCCCGUUGGUGGAGCGCCUCGGCGCGGAGAGCUCGAGCGCGCGGAGAUAUCGAGGAGCUUGGCGCGGAGAGAUCGAAAGGCUCGGGCGCAGGGAAGCUGAGGAGGUGGCAGGGGGGAGGCGCGUCGCGACUCGUGCGCAGGGAAACGAUGGAGCGCGGGGGAGCGCGUCGCGGCUCGUGUGCAGGGAAGCCGAGGAGGAGGCAGGGGAGCGGCGGAAGAAGCCUCGGUGGGUGCUUGAGAGAGAGAGAGAGAGAGAGAGAGAAAAAGAUCUGAGAUCUCUUUUUUUAUUCUCUUUUUCUUCUUUCUCUUUUUUUUUUUUUUUUUUUUUUUUUUUUUUUUUUUUUUUUUAGCGAGAGAGAUAGAGAGAGCUUUGUUUUCUUUUUUUCUUUUUUUUUUCUUUUUUUUUUGAACGGGAGAAAGAGAUAAUAUAUAUAUUUUUUUACCUUUUUUUUUUUUUGCGAUCGACAGAAUGGGGUGGGUAUUUUUUGAUUAGAUUUCGAAGAUUCAAAAAGCUCUUCCCGUUUGAUUUUUUCGAAGGGUAUUUAUGGGGGUGGUUGUAACCAACUUGAGGGAAACGUGCGAGUGAAUUGCGGGACGUGGGAUCGUGGGCGGUUAGGGGAUCGUGGGGUGAUCGUAAUGGGAUCGUGGGAUGUGGGUAGUUGAGAGGAGAUUGUGGGAUAGAUUUUGGACGGCAGCGAUGGGAUUGUGUGAUAAUGGAUGGUUAUGAUGGAAUCGUAGAGAUAUUGGGUGGUUAAGAUGGGAUUGCGGGAAUAUUGUGAAUUAGUCCUUUCCCUUUGAUCAUAUUACACCUUAAUCAAAAUAUCAUAUGAUUAAGGUAGGGCAUUUUGUAAAUAUACAAAAGGGAAUAGACUAAUAUGCUAUUUUAUAUACCCGUGCGUAUUAUUUUUUCGCAAUCCGGUGCAUGAGAUAUUUUCAAAAUUUAAAUUUUAUCCAUGCACCUGGUGCAUGGAUGAUCUCAUAAACCAUCUCUAUUUUUAUUUCUUUCUCUCCCAUUUUUUCUUUUUCCUCUUUUAUUCCUCUCUCUUUUUUUUUUUAUGCUUCAACAAAUGCCCCCCACCUUUUCAAGCUUGUGAUUUAAACAAGGUGGAAAAAGGUGCCGAUCUCCUUUUACAAUUCCGACCUUCAUAUCGCCAUCGAAGGUUUGAUCAUUAAAGAUAUCAGGUAUUUAUAUAUAUAUAUUUUUUAUACCGAUUGAUCUCUUUUGAUGUUAUAUAUACAUAUCUAUAUACAUGUUUGAGAUCUGUACGAGAUAUAUUUGACCCAUGAAUAGAUUGAUCAUGAUAUCUCUGACUUCAAAACAUCUUAUCUUAGAUCGUAGAUUUUACUCAUACGUUUUAUAUUGUAAUCCUUUUUCUAGAUCAUGGGAAAAACGAGCGAGCCAUUAAUUCAUCCCGAUGAUAAAACUUUAGGCGUAUUUAGAGGACUUUCUUUAACGCGUUCACCUCCGGUAUUUGGACGUUCUGCUGAACCCGCAAUUCCUUAUGAGACGCCUAUGUUAAAAGAAUGGGCGAUAUUUAAACAGAAACAGUUGUUGGGUCGUUUCGGGGUUGACUAUUAUGCUCCUGAUGGUGACGGCGAUGUUAUAUUAUUACCCCCAUUAGGUCCUCCGAAAGAAAGAGACACGUUACAAUCUCUCGGGUAUAAAAUACUUAAUAAUCAUCCUGGAUGGUGUGGAAUGAGUAGGAUUUUAGGGGAUAGCAUUGAGGUAGAGGGUUUAAUUGAAUGGGGAAAUCAUAUCAUCUCUCAUUACACCACACAGUUACGUCGUGCUGGCAUUUUAGGGGGUAUCGUAGCUUCACGAGGGAGAUACAAUAAGAAUAUGAAUAUCAUCAAGGCAUUGGUAGAGCUGUGGUGUUCGGAGACAAACACUUUUCAUCUUCCAUUUGGUGAAGUUGGGAUUUCUUUAUGGGAAAUUAGAGAACUCGGUGGGCUUCCGAUUAUCGGUGACAUGUACGACGAAUAUAUCCCUCCAAAUUCUGAACUUUAUAGUAAGAACAAUUAUCCCAGUUGUGUUAGGGAGCUUUUUGAUGUUUAUCAAUGGCUCAUGGCUCGGUCUUCUAACAAGCGUGUGCGGUAUGAUUUAUGGGUAGAUUUCUUUUACACAAGCUGUAAGAAGUUGACUAAGUCUAAGUCUCGGAGUAUAAGCAAUAGAGAGCUCGCCCCCUCAUAUACAGAAGACGCGACCCGAGCGGCUUUCAUUUCUUUAUGGUUAUGCAACUUUGUAAUGCCUUCUGGAUUAGACCAUUUCAUCAGGCCAGAGACGUUUAUUAUGGCUUCUAAGCUGGCAUUAGGUGAGAAAGUUGCUUUAGCCCCUGCCAUUCUUUGUGCGAUCCAUGCUGGUUUAUCUUUUAUGAGUGAUCACCCUGAAGGACCUGCGCAUCCUGGACCUCAAUUUCCGGUUAAUUUUCUAUAUGUGUGGAUCGGUCUUCACUUUGAACAGACUUAUUCUAGAAAGGUGAUUAGCGAGAAUAUCAAGAAUAUCGUCGGCUUACGAAGUCCUCCUCAAAUGAUAUUUUUUAUGGACGCGGCGGCUUCUCCUUUUAAUGCUAAGCGAGCACGGAUUCACCUCAGGUUGAGUGCUCAUUUUGUUUGGCGUCCUCUACCAUAUUCUUAUUCUUUUGUUGAUGACGGUUGGCUUUACGAUGCGAAAUUGGCUCCAGGAGAGUGUAAAUAUCCGAGAGAGGUUUAUGAGUAUAUAAUUUCUAUCAGACAGAGUGUGCUUCCACUUCGUUUGGGGAAUAAAUUACACACCCAGUCAUAUAAUCCUCAUCGUUUUGCUCGACAAUUUGGCUUUGAUCAGUCUUUUCCUGAAAGUAUCACUGUUUCCCGAUUAGCGAGCCAUCUUGGGAUACUUGCUGGAUGUUGGAAUCAUUUCAUUCGCUAUGGGACUUUUAUUAAUUAUUUCAUACCGAAGAAGGACCGGAUUGGGAAACCAACUUUGCAUUAUGCGCGCUGGUGGUCUAAUAGCGUGCAUUCGAGCUUCAAACACGGAGUAGGCUAUCUACUGAGUGCAGAUGAUCCCCGCAAGAAGAAGAAAGGUGUUGCUAUUGUUGGUAAAGAUUCUGAUUUUGAGGAGAGAUUAACCUCGUCAAAUGUUAGAGAUGAAAGGGUUCUGAAUAUUCCAGAACCAAAGGGAAAAGAACUGGACUUAUUUCCAGAAUAUGAUCAUAUUCAAGCUGAUCUUUCAGAUGACUCCCCUCAACGUGAAGUUCUUGGCCUCAGUUUUCCAAUUCAUGAAGACAAGAAAUCUGAGGUAUGUUCAUUAACAUUUUCAACUAUCUCUUUUUUUAUUUUGCAUACUGACCUUCUUUUUUUUUUUUGUAUACAGGAAGUGUUUGUUACAGGUUCGCCUGCCAGGGAUAAAAUACACUUGCAGGACCCUUUAAUGAAGUCAAAGGUAUGACGUAGCAUCCAUAUGAUUCGAAUUUUGUUUGAUUCAUUCUGACACCCUUUCUUUUUAUAUAGGCAUGCGAUGUGGAACCGUCAAGAAGCUCAGAAAAUCCACGCUUGGAUGUUUCAACUAAAGUGGCUCGUGGAAAACUUCCCAUUACUGUGUCUUCAAUGAUAGGUGAUCUUCAUUCGUAUUCUGCUUAUAAUUAAUUCCACAUGAUGUUGCCGCACUCAUCCUUUGUUUUUUUAAUUCACAGAAUCACAAGCCGGCGGGAGUGGAUCCAUUGAGGAUGACGUGCCUUCAGAUGAUGAGUGGUUCUGACGCCUUCGCCACCACAGGUAUUUUAUUUUCUAGUUGAAUCCAUGUCCCUUCUUCUGGUUUCAAAUUAAGAAUUUGAUUCUCAACUAAAGAAGGAGGUAAAAUAUGGAUAAUAAUGUGUAAUUUUUCGUUAGAAAUCUGUAGCCACAAAAAUUUCGCAAAUCGGAGUUAAAACGAAAAUGUUAUGGCCCGUUUACACUUUGGUCCCUGUAUUUACGAAACAGUCCCUGCGGGCAGUUUCAUUUCAGUCCUUGCAGUUUUAUUUUAGUCCCUGCAGCUUCAUUUCCCUUGCUUUUUGAUGCAGAAAAUUACUUUCAAGGAAUUUUAUGGCUAUAACGAUGCACAUUUUGGGAUUAAAAUAUUAUAACCCCUUUCAUAAUAUAUUCGUUAUUCCUUGUUUUUACAAAAUGGUCCUUGUAGCAUAUAUCGAUAUGUGAUUCUUUUUGUCACAGGAUCCGCUCACCGAUGCUGCUGAUAUUGGAGCGUCAUCUUUCAAGGAGGCUUGCUCGACUCAUCAUGAAGUAUAUUUGUAUUUAUUAUCCCAACUUUCAUUUUAUAUCGCUCAUGUUUACACCUCAAUUUUAUUGUGUAGGAUGAGGGUGCUGAAGGAGAUGACGAUAUAGUAGAAGAUGGCAAAAAUGAAGUCUUGCCGGGAUCGUCUUUACUUGGUAAAAGAGAACGAGUCGAUGAUAUUCCGGCUACAGAGGUGCAUAAAAGAGCUUGUUUGGAGGCUGAUUCAAAAUCAACCGGUAAAAUCCUCCCCUCUUUUCUUUAAAAGACAGUAUCUUUUACAUAUUUAUUAUUUCUUUUCAUAUGCAGACCUUCUGGUAGAGUCAAAAUUGGAUGAUGAUCUGAUAGACGCUUUAUCACCUUAUGGCGACGAAGUGGACUACGAGCCUACACCUUCACCACCUGAAGCUCCUGAUAUGGUAAGAUUUAAAUAUCUUCUUCUUUUCUUUUCUUUCUCGUUUUUCAUUCUUUUCAUUCUCUUUUUAUAGGGCGUACCACUUGACGAGGACGUCGGCAUUAACGUGAGUAGCGGUACAGGAGGUUUCCAGAGUGAGGUGCCUAUUGCGGUCAGAUCAUUUUUGAUUGACCGCACAACGGAUAUCAUGAAGACGUUCGACCGUCGACGAUUCAGAUCAGCUCGAGAGGAAGUGUCCAAGUAUUGUCAGUGCAUUUCCUCACUUGGAAUUGAUGUAUUUGAAUUGGAUGGGCGUAUAAAAUCCGUGUUUGAUCAUGCCGAGGUCAUUGAAGAAUUAGAGUCAAGUCCGAGUUUCGCUUCAGCUGUUCGGCUCGUGAAUGCUGAUGAGGAUCUGGCGCUAAAGAAAAGGAAGCUUGCUUCUCACAUCAGCACAAAAAGUUCUAUUCUCAAAGCUUCAGAAGGUGUCUCUUUGGAGCUUCAACAGACUAGAGAGAAAAUAAGAGAGCUUGAGGAGCACAUUUUGCAGUUAAAGAGUACAGAAGCAGAGUUGUCAGUUAAACUCGAAGUGGCCAACGACUCUUUAAAGAAAUUAACGCCGACUGAAGAAGAACUGCAGAAGGACGUUGCUGAUGCGGAGAGGGAAUAUGCUGCAGCCACUGAAGAUUGUAAAGCUUCCAAAGAAUCCGCCGGUCUCCGAGGAUUGAUAGAGCUAUUUGAGGAGCGUCGUCAGAUAUUUGAGAUUUGAUUUUCCUUUACUUUUCUCUUUUUGGAUGUUUAUCGUGGAUGUUAUCUUUAUUUGUCACUAGUAUGAGACAGUAUUUGAUAAUUUGAAUGACUUUGAUUGUGCUUGAAUGUUCGAUCUCUUCCUCCUGUUUUUAUCUCAUACUGCAUUGUAACGAUGAUUGUCUUGCGAGAAUGGUUUGUUCCUUUUGCCUUGAUUCUCACGUACAAUCAACUCUAAAUUGAGUCAUCACUCAGUUGUCUGGGCAAAUAUGCUAUCUUCUCAGCGCUCUUGUAGCGAUAACAUGUACACUGCCCCCCCCUUUUUAUUUUUUAUUUUUUAUUUUUUAUUUUUUAUAUGCUCAGUUUAACGACAUGGCGGUCAAAUUACAUCAAAAUGCCAAAUUACAUCAAAAUGCUCAGUUUAACGACAUGGCGGUCAAAUUACAUCAAAAUGCUCAGUUUAACGACAUGGCGGUCAAAUUACAUCAAAAUGCUCAGUUUAACGACAUGGCGGUCAAAUUACAUCAAAAUGCUCAGUUUAACGACAUGGCGGUCAAAUUAUAUUAGAAUGCUCAGUUUAACGACAUGGCGGUCAAAUUAUAUCAAAUGCUCAGUUUAACGACAUGGCGGUCAAAUUACAUCAAAAUGCUCAGUUUAACGACAUGGCGGUCAAAUUACAUCAAAAUGCUCAGUUUAAUGACAUGACGGUCAAAUUACAUCAAAAUGCUCAGUUUAACGACAUGGCAGUCGAAUUACAUCAGAAUGCUCAGUUUAACGACAUGGCGGUCAAAUUAUAUUUGAAUGCUCAGUUUAAUGACAUGGCGGUCAAAUUACAUCAAAAUGCUCAGUCUAACGACAUGGCGGUCAACUUACAUCAAAAUGCUCAGUUUAACGACAUGGCAGUCGAAUUACAUCAGAAUGCUCAGUUUAACGACAUGGCGGUCAAAUUAUAUUUGAAUGCUCUUUUGAAAGCAAUCGAAAUUGCUACACAUAACUGACCCUAAGGCGAGUUAGUGGAAAAAAUACAUUUUGGGUAAUAGGAGACAUGGUUUGGUUUUUUUUUUUUUAUUUUGCCUCAAGAAGCAAUCGAAAUUGCCGCAUAACUGACCCUAAGGUGAGUUAGCAUUCCGUCAUAGGCAAAAUAUAUUUUGGGUAAUAGGAGACAUGGUUUGAUUUGGUUUUAUUUUGCCUCGAGAAGCAAUCGAAAUUGCCGCAUAACUGACCCUAAGGUGAGUUAGCAUUCCGUCAUAGGCAAAAUAUAUUUUGGGUAAUAGGAGACAUGGUUUGAUUUGGUUUUAUUUUGCCUCGAGAAGCAAUCGAAAUUGCCGCAUAACUGACCCUAAGGUGAGUUAGCAUUCCGUCAUAGGCAAAAUAUAUUUUGGGUGAUCUGGCGCCCAUAUGGGUUUUCACCAGAUACCUUCCCCUAACUUUUGCCUGUGAGCCUCGAAAGGUUUUCUCACAGCGNNNNNNNNNNNNNNNNNNNNNNNNNNNNNNNNNNNNNNNNNNNNNNNNNNNNNNNNNNNNNNNNNNNNNNNNNNNNNNNNNNNNNNNNNNNNNNNNNNNNAUUCGAACAAAAUAUUUCAUAUAAGUUAUUAUCUAUGUUACGAACACAGGUUCAUAGUAUUAAAGGGCAAUAUUGGUAUUUAAAAAAAUAUUAAUCUAAGUUUUCUACUAUUCUCAACUAUCAUCAUAAAAUUUACCAAACAAAAAUUUGCUUAUUUUUCGGAAUUAGAGAAUUGCAAACCAAACACAAAUUUCAUUUUAUUCUUUUGUAUCUUAAAAUACAUCAUAAAUUCAAGAAUAAAAAUAUUUAUUUUCCUAAACACUAUUCCAUCACCAAACGCAGCGUUAGUGAACAACUUUCUUUUUCUAAUGGCUAUUUUCAAUAAAUAUUGAAGGAAGAAAGAUUAAAAUCGCCUGACUUAUUAUUAUUUGUUUUCUGAAUCUUUCAUAUAUAGAAAGGAAAGCCACUUUCUUGAACUAUAACUUUGAACUAGGCCUAAGUCGGCAAUCCAUAUAACAUUCACUAGAUAGCUUGGCAAAUGUUGAAUUAACUCCAAUCUCCAAAAAUAAAAGAUCAGAAUUGUAAGGUUCUCAACUUAUAAUUAGGGUUAUCAUCCCACCUGCAGUUAUAUAAAUUAAAGAGUUAAUUGCAUUCAGCUUCCUGUAAAUAUGAUAAAUUACAAAUAUAUUCCUAUAAAGUUUAAUUUUUUUUUGUUAUUCCUGCAAAAGUUCAGCGAUAUUCAUAUUUAUCCUUCUGGUUUAUUACCAUUAGAAAACUGUUUAGUUUUAUUUGUAACAAUAAAUAAAUAAAAUGUCAAUUUUGUCAUUACAAACAUAUCUUUUCAAAAGCCCCAACUGCUAUAAUCGGGCAGAAAUGUCCUCCUAAAAAAUUUUCAAUAGUCAUCUUUUUCCUCCUCUUCUUCCUCUUCAAUACCAAACCCAAUCCAUCAUUAUUGCAACCUCUUUUCUCACUCUUUUUCUCCUUUUUUUUUUUAGCAAAAUAAAAAAAAGAAAUCAUAGAGAAAAUUGAAUAGAAAAAUAACGCGCGUUCGACAUGGACAAAGCAACACACAUCGUGAAUGGAUGGGGACGGAGAAAUUUUAGUUACGGAUUUGAAACUAGCAUGAAGGAAAGAAAGGAAGAGAAAGAGGAAGAAGAAGAGUUCCCAUUGGCUAGGGUUUUGAUUGAGAAAAGAAGCUAUAAUAUAAGAGGGGUAAAAAUAUCAAUUUAUCUUAUUAACUAUCAGGGUUAAGUUUUCUAUCUAUCGUUAACUAAAUUUUUCUAAUGGAUUCUAACGACAUGAGCAUAUUUGAUACAUAAAAAUAUUGAAUUUUGUAGAGAUAUAUUUACUAUUCACGAUGUUUACAAUGAGCUAUAUGCAAUUAACACUAAACUAAAAAAAUAAUAAUAAAUACAAAAAAAGCAAAACAAAAAAAUGAAACACAAAGACAAGUAUAAUCUGUGUUUGGUAGUUUAAAAGCCUAAGUUUGUUAUGUACGAGGAUGCGAAAGGAUGUUCAAAUUCUGGUUUUUCACAUACAAUGCACAUAUAUAGCUUGGUAUUAAUGUCUUAAACAUUUCCUCAUAAUUGUAUUGUUAUGGUAAAUUACAGUAGGUAGUUUGAAGUGAAAAUAGUAACAUAAAGAUGUGACUUUUUCUUAGGUUUUUAUUAGGUCAAAAUAUAGAAAAUCUAUCUAUAAAUAUAUUUUUUUUUUACUUUCAAAAUUUUUUAUUUUGUCCUCUCAAAAUUUUAAAAAUAUUUGCAGCGUUACGCUGCUAGCGGAGAUGAUUAAAUGAUCAAAUUGCCCUCUCUAGAAAGCUGAGGCCAAGGCUAUCUAGCCCCUCGUCCACGUCCUCAAGACUGGAAUGCUGACAAUCCGACCGUGCGGAAAAACACCUCGUUCGCCAUUCUCUGCCUUGCCCAACUCAAGGGCCUUGUUGGUGCGAUCAGUAGCGCAGGGCACGAUCCCGCCUUUAUUUUCGAACCAAAUGAUGCCUAAGGCAUUUUGAAUAUUUUAAAUUAUAUAAAAGUAUCGCAAAUACCCUUAAAAAUUUUAAAAUUUCAUAUUUGCCCUUCCAAUGUUAUUAGUUAUAUCAUAAAUAUAUGCCCCUCCCUUUAUUGUAACCAUAGUUCAAGACUAGCUUAUUGCUAGUUAAUUUUCAAAAUACCAAUUUUACCUUUAGUUAUUUUUCAUGGCCAUUUUUCAACCCAUUGUUCUCCUCUUUUCUCUAUUCUUCUUCUCCAGUCCAUUGUGGAGCCUCACUCGUGGGAGAUAGUAUUCUAUGUAGCAAUGACAUCGCUUGGCUACAUCUCAAACCAAUCAUUUUUUUUUCAGAGAAAAAAUACAAAAAAAAAUUUUACACAAAAAUUAUGAUGGGACGUGAUGGGAUGGGUAAAUCAUAGGAAUACAAUUUGAUUGGUUGAGAAUAUAGAUGAUGUGAUGCUAUUGAUAGAUUUUAGAUUUUUUUUUUUUUUUUUUUUUUUUUUGGUGAAUCCUCUAAUACUCUCUCCAUUACCAAAAUCAUUACCCAAAAAUAGGAUGCACUUUCUCCCUUUUUCUUAACUACUUAAGUUUUUUAUUUUUCAAAUUUUUUUUAGGACUCUUCUUAAGAGAGUUCCUGCUUAGACUCUUUCUACGCAGACAGAGAAUUUAAAGGGCACUAAUGAUAUAACGGACAAGGGCAAAAAUGGGUAUUUCAUAAUUACGAUAGUAAUUUCUUACGAAAACAAACUAGUGGGGAACUUCGUAAUAUUUGUAACCAUUUAAAAGAAUAUAUGUGAUAUUAUCAAGUUUAUAACGAUAUUAAUAAAAUUAUAGCACGUAAAAAGGACAUUCAUAAAAUUAUCCUUAAUAUAAAAUAUUUAUGAACUAAGGACAAAAUAUUAGCAAUGGGAGGCUAAGUGCAACACCUUAAAAUUUGAGAAAACAGAACAUAAAUUUUUGAAAGUCAGGAAAAAAAAAAAGAAAAAAAGAAUAUUUAUAGAUAUAUUUUCUGUAUUUUAGCCUUUUUAUUAUUAACAGAGAUAAAAAAAAAAAAUGCAAAAAAGUGUGUAUAUUUGGAAGGAUAUUUUAUUAUUUGGCCAGAAAUAGGUAAACAUAGAAGGAGGUAUCGAACCAAUUUAAUUGGGCCAGCAACCAAUCAAUAGGGCCGAAUACUCUUCCGCCCAUAUGUCUUCCACGCCAAAUAUACAGUGCAGUACUGCUGUGCAAUGAGAUGGAGUUUAUCUUUUUAUUUGAGUAAGUCUCCACGGAGAUCUCCGUACUUGUAAGUUAUUUUCAAUGAUAGAAAAUCUGAAUUUUAUAAUCUACUCUGUUGGAACUAUUUAGAAACCAAAUUUUAUAAUUUUUUGACAUCAUUUACCAAGCGAUCAAAAGGCCUAAAAAAAGACUAUUUUAACGGCCGAUGUGGGACGUUUUUAAAUUCAACGGUGUAGAAGUAUCCAAAUUAGAUGAAAAUUUAAUAAAAAAUUCUACUUAAUAUCAAUAGUAAGACCAAUACUUCCGAUUUGAAAUUUGAGUCCUUUAUCACUAUUUUUUAUGAAAUUUUUAUUUUCAGCCGUUUAUUUUGAGGCUACUCGUUUACUAGACAAACGAAGUCAAAAAAAUUUGAAAUUUGGUUUCUAGGUAGUUCUAAUAACGUAGAUCAUAUCUAACGGAACCGAUCACCGAAUCGGAUGUCCCAUUAUUAAAAACAACUUACAAGUACGGAGGCUUCUGUAUUUUCGAAAAUAUAGGAGCCUAGCUCAUACAUUUUUUACUUCUAUAAAAGUCCAAUAAUAUUCUUAUUUGCCCCUGUAAUAUUCCUCCAAAAGUCCCACUUGUUAGAAUUAUAUAAAAAUGUCCUCCCAACAAGUAUUUUAUCCAAUAAUAUUAGAGGGGUAAAAGGGUUAAUUUAACUCAUGCACUAAGCAGGGUUAAGCAUUUUAUUCAUGGUUAACUAUAUUUCUCUAACGAAUUCUAGUGGGAUGGGUAUAUUUGAAAAAGUUAGAACUUUUAAAGGGAUAAAAAUAAAAAGUUGAACUUUGGAGGAAUAUAUUUGAUAUUCGAUGUCACACCCCAAUAGUCCCAUAUGGGAAAGGAAUGAGGUUGUCAUUAGGUAUGUAAAAGGACUUCACCCCAGUAAUACUAACCGGGUUUAAGCAUUUUGGACCAGUGGGUUUAGCCCAACGAAUUAUUAUUACUAACGGGUCAGAUUUUUAUAUUUGGUAUCAGAGCCGGUGGAUCACCAGCCGAACCAGCCGAAAAUGUGGGAUGAAUCUUGGCUGAGUCAAGAUCGUUGAAUAACAAGCUAAAUCAGAGUCGGAAUAACAAGACUAACGAGACAAGUCCCGCAUCGCCUGAUAAUAUUUGGUUCUGUGUGUUUAGGGCUGAUGGCCUUAAGUAUUUUGGGCUGGUGAUUUUGGUCUAACGAGCUAUUAUUACUAAGUUUACUGAAAACUGUAUGCAAUUAAUCUUAAAUUUUUGUUUAAUUUGGCAUUAUUGCUGAUUUUUUUUAAAAUAAAAUUUCUAUAAAAAAUAGUGUAGGAGGGCAGAAUAGAUUAUUGUCCAAAUAUAAUAUAUUUUUUUAGCAAUAAAAAAAAUAAAAAUUUAAAAGUCUUUUUUUUUUUUUUUUUUUUUUUUUAAUUUUUUUUAGUAGGGUAUAUUGUAACCUAACCAAUCAUUAAAAAAAAAAAAAUCCUUCCAGUAAUACACCAACUUCUAUAAAGUAAAAGUUAAAAAAAUCAUGAAAGAACAGCAACAAUGCCAAACAAGGCCUAUAGAUGAUGAGAGCUUCGGAAUCCCAAUUAUGAUAUUUGCAAUAAAAAGUGCUAAACUUUUUUAAUUUAUCCAAUAUUUUAUUAAAGGGGGAAUUGCUUAUAUAUUCAUGAAAAAUUUUCUACUUUUUAUUUACCCCGCUUAAAUAACUAAUAUAAAAAUACCUUUUAACAUUCCCAUUUCUUUUAAAUAUACCCUUAUAGUUAUUAUCUUUAUAAAAUUACUAAUUUGUCAUUUUAAAUAUAUUCUUCUAUCAUCACCAAAGUUUCUUAUUUAUCCUCAAAUUAAAAGCAAAAGAGAUAUUUUGACUUUGUUUAACUCUGGUAGAAAUUUAACUCAAAUUUAAUUCGAGAUAGCUUAACGGUACUAACAGCGAGGGUAUUUUUAAAUAAUAGAGAAAUAUAUGCUGGCAUAUUUGAAAUAAAAAUAGUAAAAAUAUAUAAGAUAUUUCAAAAGUAUUGACAGGUAUAUAGACAAUUAUUCUUUUAUUAAAAAUAAUUACAACCGGAAUAGAAGCAAAAGCGAAAUAAAAUCACACUAACUAGAUGGGCACAUCUAGGUUUGCCCAAUUCGAUAUCUAGGUUUGCCCCUCGGAAAUAGAUAAUUAAAAAGAGAGGAUUGGUACUCAAUCAUAAGCAAAAUCGAAAAAAGAAUCGAAGGAUGGCGGUCGAAGCUUUUGCACCAGAGUGGCAGAUUGACUCUAAUGAAUUCGGUGCUUUCAAAUCUCCCUUUGUACUAUUUCUCUAUGUUCAAGGCACCAAAAUGGGUUGUAUGUCACAUUGAGGUAUUAAGAAACACUUUCUUUUGGAAGGGUAACACAACGGUCAGCAGUGAUUUUUACUUGAUCCAGUAGAAAUCCCUUUGCAUGAGCAAAAAAGACGGUGGUCUUGGGACCAAAGAUCUUGCGACGAUGAAUAUUACUCUUCUAGCAAAAUGGUGGUGGAGAUUUUUAACGGAACCAAAACUUCAAUGGAAAAGUUGAUUAAGGCACUGUAUUAUUGAAGGAGAAUUAGAGAAGGAUCAAGUUUUCGGCCAUUCUCACAAUGGUGGAAAGGUGUUCUACAAACGAGAAAUAUUUUUAAAUGCGGGGUGACGUUCACGUUGGGAAGCAAAAAAUGGACUGAUUUUUGGUCAAAUAUAUGGUGUGGUGAUUGCUCGCUGUGAACAUCCUUCCCUACUGUGUACGACCGUAUUCGAUGCAAAAGCUAUUGGGUGAAAGACUGCUUUACAAGAGGAGGAUGGAAAUGGGAUACGAUUCUAAGAGGCUAUGUGGCCCCUCGUCCCAGAGGAGAGAGAUAUGAUGGAUGACUUGAAAGGAUUACUCAUAGGCAUAGUUGUGAAUGAUGGACAAGACUUGGCCAAAUGGAGAUGGACCUACUCACAACAAUUCUCAGUUAAAUCGCUUUUUAAUUUUCUUAAGUAUGGUGGAGUUAUAGACCGAACCACCUUCUAGAUUUGGAAGCUGAAGCUACUAGAGAAAAUUAAGAUCUUUGUUUGGCUUGUAUUGAGAAAAAAUGUAUUUAUUGCUGAUAAUCUAUAAAAAAGGUGUUGGCUUGGGAAAUAAAAUUGUGUGCUCUGUGCUGUUGAAUUUGAGACAUAGAUCACCUAUUCAUAAAGUGUGUUUGUGUCAAAUUUUUGCUCCUCUGUCUCCUAUCUAAUCCUGAUGCUAUUUUAAGCAACACGAUGACUAGGGAUCUUUGAGAAGCAUGUAGAAUGCAGAUGGAUAAUUCAAACUGGAGGAAAAGCCUUUUGACGCUUACAGUGGUCUGGUGGCUUGUAUGACUAGAGAGAAAUAGCAAAAUAUUUCAGAAUUUGAAAAAUAAUAUAGACUGCACCCUAAGUGAAAUCAAUAAACUAAGAUAGCUUUGGAAAAAUCACUGUAACUAAAGGCAGUUGAUAUAUCACAAUUCACAAGCUAUAGAUUUUAUUUUUAUUUUGAGAUUUCUUUUCUUUUCUUGUUUUUAGCGGAGCUCUGCCAUUUGUUGUUUCUCUCUCUCUCUCUCUCUCUCUCUCUCUCUCUCUCUCUCUCUCCGAGGCNGCGCAGACAGAGGACUGACGUUUUCUUGCAGUUGUCCUGGAUUCCUCCCAGGGGACCCAAUCACAGAUUGGGUGUUUAUUGUUUGGUGAUCGAGAGUGUUGGUAUCAAUCAAUUAAGCCUAAGCCGUUUUUAAGCCAUGCCUAUAUUAAGCCUAUUUUAAGCAAAAAAUUAAAAAUUUAAGCAACUUUUUAUGCCGAUUUUUUGCCCAAGCCAUUAAUAAGCCUAUACAUUAAAUAUGCCUAUAUUAUGCAAGUGGUUAAUUUUUAAGCCCUAGUUUUUAAGCCGAUAUAUUAUUCAUAUAUUUAUAAUUAAAUGAUAUAUAACAGUUGUACAGGUGGGUACUUCGAUCCGACAUCGGUACAGUGGUACACGCUCGGUGAUGGUUUCUUACCUUUGCCCUUUCGUUAUUAUCUAGUAUAUAUAUAUCUUGAUAUAUAGUGUUGAGCCUAGCACCAUGUUGUUCACUUACACUCUACUCGGUUGUUCUCUUUAUAUCAUGAGUAGGAGUAGAGUAGUUAUACCAUAUUUCUUUAUUGCUCUACUUAGCUAUUCUGCAUAUCCUGUGUCAUGUUUAGAGUAGAGCCAUUUCGUGAUUAUCUGUGAGAUUAGCGAUCUAGUCGAUCGAUUCUAGUAUUCAGUAUUUGUGUCAUGAUUGGUCGAGUUUCAUAUCCUAUACUUGUGACAUGAUUGGUCGAGUUUCAUAUCCUAGUUGACCUGAGUGGUCGGUUCUUGUGCUUCUUUACAGUUGAUGACCCAUGCGGUCGAUGGGCCCUGGGGGGCAGGAUUGUCGGCUGGUUGCCGACGGUUGAUCAUUGAGCAUAUUGCAUUGAUCGCCCGAUACUCGUCGCAUUUCACGAACACUGGCGGUCUGAUCCACCGCAAGGAGUGUUCUUUUCCGAAAAAGUGGUUGAAUGGUGACAACCCGUGAGCCCUAGAGGGGUUAUAUGCAUGUUAGAGCGGCAGUGGUACUGUCGGGAGGUGUUGCGGUGCGGACCUCCAGGGCAUUGGCUUGAGGUCUGCGGUGCUGACCAAGAGAGCAUUGGUUUCAGAUUGGGUACUUUUGGACUGAUUGUUCCAUUGACGCAUAUGUUUAUAGUAGCAGUCGUUGCAUGCAUACUUACAGAUCUUACUUUAUAGUUGUCUUGCUACUAUAGUAGAUAUUCAUGUAUGCUUUCUGUUCCAGUUACAGUAGCGGUAGCCGUUUAUUCAGUAUAGUUCUUACUUCCUUUCAGUUUAUCGCUAUUGUAUAUCUGCUUAUUACCUUGUUCAUUUCCACUGACCCAUGUUGUUGUAUAGUUCUUUCUGAUCCGGUGAGUACUCCUCGCCUUUUUCGGCUUGCGGUACCCACUGGGAGGGGAGACAUGUUUACAUGUUCUCACCUCCCCCACCAUUUUUCAGGUAUCGCGGGCGUUGAGUAGUGGGACGAGUCGUGAGGUACGUGUGUAGCGGUCGAUAGAGCUUCCGACCCAGGUUAUUUCGAUUUAGCUAUUACCCUUUUUAUUUCUGUGGAUAUAUAUAGCUUAGUCGGUUUACAUGGUUCAGUUUUGUUUUAUUAUUUGAAUAUCUGAGUUUUCAGUUGGUUUUAGAAUAUAAUAAAGGAAUUGUGUUUUCUUGAAAUAAAAGGUUUUCUACCCCUCGUGGUAGCGUUUCUUAAAGAAUAAAGGUUUCCGUGUAGGGAACAGAUUUCAAAAGAAUUUUCGUGAAUUUCUAUUUAAACACUGAAUGUAAAACUGUGAUGUGAAUGGUGAGUGUAUGAAUGUAUAGUUAUCUUUAUAUUCAUUUGGUUGUGGUUGUUUCCUGGCUAUACUCUUGUACUUGUGCGACGCCGUGCAAAUACAGGGGAGACUCUGUCCGUGUGAACAGUGGAUUCCCUGUAUUUGUGGCGGAUCUGGCAUACCCUGGGGUCAGGUUUGCCAAAAAAAAAAAAAAAAAAUUUUUUUUCGCUGUGUUUUUAACCUAAAGGGACCCCGGGGCGUGACAAAUAAACUAAGGUAGCUUUGGAAAAAUCACUGUAACUAAAGGCAGUUGAUAUAUCACAAUUCACAAGCUGUAGAUUUUAUUUUUAUUUUGAGAUUUCUUUUCUUUUCUUGUUUUUAGGGGAGCUCUGCCAUUUGUUGUUUCUCUCUCUCUCUCUCUCUCUCUCUCUCCGAGGCCCUGUUGCCUUACUAAUGUAGUC
rnacentral:lncRNA from 1 species